rnacentral:lncRNA from 1 species
GCAAAAUUCAAGCUUGGGGGAGUACUUUACAUAAAAACAUCCUUUACCAUGUUGCUAUGCUGGUUGUCCCUACCUUUGAGACAUGCUCAAUUUGUUAAAUACUAAUCACACUACUUCAUCUCCACUUGAGUAGAUCUCUAUAAAUGUUGUCAUGCUACCUUUGUCUAUUUACUAGCAAGUGUUGGUUUGGAAGUACUCGCCAUACUUCCAUUGGCAUUUAAAUUAAGCAUGGUGCUUAGGUUAAAUAGCCUUCCUUAAUCUGAUUAGACAUGGAGUCUAGUUUGGUUAUUGAACUAAAAAAAACUGCUUGAGUAGAUAUUGGUAUAUUUUGUCGGACUAACCCCUGCAGAAAAACUUUCAAUAUUGAUUUGGGAAGUCUUGAGAUAAACUCACAUCAGAGACGAAGAGAGUGACACAUGAAGUUUAACAAUUUGCACAAGAAGGACAUAGCUCAUUCAUCAUAGAGAGAUGAUCUAUGGAGGGUGCCACAAACACGACGCACAACCGCUAAGAAAGGAAAGCUUCCACAAGAUGAUACUGUACCAUCACUCUUCGAGCAAGGUAACAUCUUAAGAUACUUGACUAUCACUUUUAUAAGCUUCUCCUUGGUUCUGGCGUUCAUAUAAAUAAAAGAGACAAACGUGUAUGAUUUACAACUCUAGAUUAACCAACCCAACUGAUUCAACAUGUUUAGUCCUUUAAUCCUUGUUCUUAGUACUACCUCCAUGAUCCCACACUCCUAAUCAUAUGAGCUAAAAUGUUACACAUUCAAUCAUUGAGAGAUAUAAAGAAAAAGACAUAUACAUAGAUAGAUUAUCUUUCCAUAAGGUUGAGCGAUCUGAUCUGACAAAUGUUAUAAGUGCUACACUCAUGAACUUAUCAUCCAUCAACUUUGUCUUGCUCACUAUGCUUAAGGUUAGAGAAGAACAAAUACACUUUUGGUUCUGUUGGUGUUUUCCACCAACAGGGCCCAUGCACUUGAUCUCUGCCUUGUCUCUAUGAGCAGGUACACUACGAGCACAAACACACUGAGUAAGAUACUGCUAACACCUCACUUCGAACUGCUGGGCAAACGAAGAACAUGGGUGACACCGUAUUAAAAGGUGCAGACGUCAAGGUCCGCACCUGAAUCAAAUGACGCACCUGAAGAAUGAACACGGUGAGAAGUCUUGUCAAGAAGACUUAAAACAUUGAACCCUCGCCGAAAGGUAAGAUUGGUAGUUAUCCAUAUUUAUCCUUUCUGCAUUCCCUUUUCCCUUUAAUUAUUUACUUGCCUUAAAUAGAUUAUUAGUUAAUCAUGCUAUCUUGAAAAGAAAAUAAAAAUGUUAAAAAAAUACUAAACCCCAUGUGAGUAUACGAGUGGCAUAAAACCCAUAAGUACCUUCACUGUGGUGGCAUAAAAAUAAAAUAAAUAUUUCUUUUUUUACUUUAUAAAAUAAAAAUAUAAAAACAGGGAGUAAUAUUUAUUGAGGAAGUUCAACGUGAUGAAGGCUAGAUAUUUAUGCAAACACUUAAUUAGUUCCACAAGCUUUGUUGUCUAUUUGAGCUCCACAGAAUUUAAGAAUCAAGAAGACUAGCAGAUGGAGGACAUUCUAAUCGCUGUCAGAAUGCUGCUGACUUUCAAAUACACAUCUGCCACCUGCUAGCUACAUCAAGAGAAAUUACGUCAAAAUUCAGCUUGGGGGAGAGCACCCCUAUUUAUCUCGCUAAGUAUUUCUACCUAUCUUUAUACUUAUAUUAUAUUAGAAUAUUAAAAUACAUAAACUAUGAAAAACCAAAUAAAGAUUUUAUGCUUAUAUAUAUAUAUAUAUAUAUCUUUUCUUAGUUUGCUAAAUAAAUAAAUAAAUAAAUAAAUAAAGUUUGCUAUGAAUCUUAAUAAUAAAACUCUAGCAUGGAUAUGAUGAAUAGUUGCUCUACCUAAUUUGCAAAUUUAAAGUUCUCUCUCAAGUUUAGACAUAACUGUUAUAAUUUAAAGCUUGCUCUAGAUCUAAACUUGUGGGAUGAAAACUUGAUGUGAAAUCUAAGUUGUUAACGGAUAAGAUAUGGGAAGGUUGAGCUGCUGUUUAUCUGUUCCUAGAGAUGCUACAAUUCUGGAGAAUUUUAUCUUUGAAAAUCUUUAAAAUGUUGCAUGAUGAGUUCCUGUAUGAUGAGAGUUUAAAUUCCUACCACAGCUAUAUAUACAUGCUUGCUAGACUUUGAGCCACACAUUUAUUUACUGCUUAUGAGCAUUGAGUGUGGUCAAACUGUGUAGACCCUUAGGAGCUUGUCAUGUGGUUAAAUCAAGAUUCACUUGCACGUUCACUCAUAUAUGCUACUUCUACUCCGGAAGUACCAUCCACAUAUAUCCAUCCAUUUCCAUCUCCAGUUUCAUCCAAAUAUAUUCUGCUCCUAAUCCGGGAGAGAAUAACCAAAAAUAUUUUUGUUUUCCUUUGUGAAAUAAAUGCUCAAGUUAUCUUGCUACUACCACUUGCUAUAUUAUCUCAAGAGAUGAGUGCUCUAAAAAAAGAAAAGAGAAGAAAAGAAAAAAAAUAAUAAACGAGGAAAUAAAAAGGGGCAAGUGCCCGGAACCUCGAAAGAAAGAGAAAGUGAGACGAGAGGUAAAAAUGGACAAGUGUCCGACAGUAGAAUUAGGGGUACAAGAUACCCACCUGAGAGGAAAGAAAAAGAAGAGCAUCUCAUUCUCCUCAUAAAGUUUCAAAAAGCAUGGAAGGUAUGUAUCCCCUCAAAAGAGCAAAAGUAGAAUUAGACUUUCACCAUUGUUAUCACCAUCAUCACCAUGCACCAUUCAUUCGCCACACAUGCACAUCUUGAUUUAGCUUAUUGAUUUGUUUCUUUGGAUCCAUGGUUUGACUACACAAUAAAUGUCUUGUAAGUAUGUAUACUUUAUCUCCCACCUAUAAGCUCCAGAUAUUAAAGCCUUAUUAGAGUAGGGUGAGAGAGAAGGCAAUGUCACUAUGCCUUAUACCACAAAUACCACAUAUCUUGAGAGAAGGCAUAUACCAUCACUACUUGGUAAGGAUCCAGAAAUACCACAAAAGAGAGAUUUAGAGAGUCAUACAAGGAAUCUCUGAGUUUUAUUUGAAAAUCUACAAAAACUCCAGAGCUAUAGCUGAUCAAGAAUAAGAGACAUGGCACUUGGCUAGACUGUUCUAUCUUUUAACUACUCAAGACAGAAGUGACGGUUACAAGUCCCAUGGUGAAGGUAAAGUAAGCAAGUUUUAGUUCUUGACAGUUUACUCUAACUCAGAGAUGAGAUCUUAUUUAAAAGCAUGUGUACCGUCAAAUUUUUAAGAUAUUGCAACAACUUCUGAUCCAUUGCUAAGUCUAUCCUUGCUCAGGGACGAGCAAGAGGUAAGCUUGGGGGAGUUGUUGACGGUCCUUAAGUAUCAAAUUUAACUAUCAAAUAAACAAAGAAAAGGAUCCAAAUGAAAUGAACAUCGAGACUUAGGGUUUUAUCUGACAGAAUUCCAUGAGUUUUGGUGUUUGUCUAUUUCUGCAGGGGGUUAUCAGGAAAUAAGGAAGAAAGGCCCACACGUCGGGUUUACAUAGAGAUAUUAACGUGCCGCGCAAUUUUCUACCAUCUAGAAGACUCCAGAAGCCACGGGAACGAACGGGAGGCCGAUCGGGCCCAGGACCUGGGCGCCCGCCCUGUCCUACUGGGCGCCCGCCCACCUCCUAUGGCCAAUCACGCUCAAUCUCGCGGAUUAUGCUCCACCGACCUAAAAGAACAAGAAUAACCGUUCAAUCAAUGUCGGUUUGAUCCGACGGCCCAGGUUCACUUGAGGGGACUAUAAAACCAGACCCCCUGGCCCCUGGAGGAGGCAACCCCUUGAUCAUUAUUCAUUAUUCAUAGACAGAGCAAAAGCUAGGGUUUAGAGAUGAGAGCUCUCCUCUCUUCUCUAAACUAGAGUAGAUCUAGACAGUAGCGAGAUGGAGAGCGAAGGAGGAUUAGAGGAGAGGCCGGCCUGUCGGUUCUUCCUUCGGUUGUACUUCGCCAUGAUCAAGCUCUAAUCAAGCUUGCUCAUGUGAUGACUUUGGUAAUCUACUUCUAAUUCAUUAUGCAAUUACUAAUUAUGUAUGUUCUGGUUCACAACUCUUUUGAUUACUUCUAAUCUAUAGGACCCUAUAGGUUAGAGUUGUAGUAUAGGUGUAAGCGUGGUGCUUAGACCUAGAUUACUUGUGGAUAUCCCCUGACUAGCUGGAUCGUGUGGUAGGCCGCGUAGGUGACAGUUACAUUGGUCCCCUGUAGUCCACCUCUCGUUAGCAGGAUGGGUAGGGUUUAUCGGCUUAUGGAUAAGCAUCCUUUGUGGUGUACUCUUAUCACGUGGUUCGUCCCAGACAUAGACAUACCCCUUUGAAGUAGAGAAACCAUAGUUAUCCUCUCUAUUAUGCUACCAUCGCCCAUAUACUAGAAUUGCUCUACUCUCGAGGUCAAUGACAUGUUGCCCAUGCUUAGAUGCGAAUGCUUGACUCAUAAAUGAAUGUGAAGCUCCCGAAUCAAAUAAGACAACUGCAGGGUGUUGAUUUACAAGGAACAUACCAGCCGUGACCACUUCACCUUCAGGAAUUUCUUCAAUGGUGGUAUAGUGCACUCGGCCAGGACGUGUAGUAACCCCAGCAGCAGAAGUCCUCCUAGGGUAAGGGCAAUCUCUCGCCCAAUGACCAACUUGUUUGCAAUUAAAGUAGGGGCGGUUAUCAGGAGGAUUCUUGGGACUCCCUUGACCCGUGGCAGCUCUUGGGAGAGCAACUGUGAAAGACUUGCGAACUCCCGUCUUCACAUUUGACUUUUUCUGCGGUGGCCUAUACCUUGUCACAGCAUUGGGUGGGCGAUAGGCCGGCUUGCUUGGCACUGGAGCCUUGGACUGCGAAGCACCUGCCUCAUAGGCCCUCUUGCGGUUCUUGGAUGCAGCAUACACAGCAUUAGAAUUUUCCUGAGUCAAUGCAUCACUCACAAACUCGUUGAAGGUGGUACUCUUGUUACCACCCAUGUUCUUGGACAACUUGGGUCCCAACCCUCUCUUGAAACUAGCGAGUUUCUUGGCUUCGGUGUCAACCAUUUCAGGAGCAUAGCGAGACAAACUGUUAAAAGCAUGAAGAUACUCAGUCAAGCUUUUAGUGCCUUGCGUUAGGUUCAUGAACUCGGUGUGCUUGAUAGUCAUUAAGCCUUGGGGAAUAUAAGUAUUCCUGAAAGCAGUUGUGAACUGGUCCCAGGUUACAACAGCAUUGGCAGGCAAGCUGGUCCUGUAAUGACUCCACCAGACACCUGCUCUGCCCUCCAACUGGUGGGCUGCAUAUUCCGCCUUUAGCUCUUCGGUCACCCUCAGCAAGCGGAACUUCUGCUCGAGAGUGUUGAGCCAUUCAUCAGCUUCUAGAGGUUCGAUAGCCUCCUUGAAAAGCGGUGGUUUUGUGUCUUGGAAAUCCUUGAAACUGUUGUACUGAUUUGCCUCUCCGCCUUGGCGGGCAUGGCGACCACCCCGAUUCUGCUGUGCCAUAGUUUGCAUAGCCUCAUUGAGCAUACGCUGGCCCUCAACAAGAGCUGCCAAUAGUUCAGUAGGCGUAGGCGGGGGAGGAGGUGGUGGCGAUGGCACCUCGUUGUGACCGGAGCGAGUAUUGCGAGCCAUCUGCACAAGGCAUACCAAGCGAUUGUUUCAGGCGACAGAUAUAAUUGUCAUGAACUUCAAUUGUUGCCCUACGGAAUUUAAUGAAGUAAAUUCACAUAAAUCAAGCCGCAGUAAUCCAUGUACAAUAAUAAAAUAUCUGCCAUGACACUUGGUUAAUCUCGCGAUCAAUCAUAGCCACACCUUCUCAAAGAUUAAAGACAUUGCAGAGAAUUAUUUAGGCUCAACAUAAAACAUGGAGCAUCACAAAUAAGUGCAUAGGGUUACAUAGAGUUAUUGUCACAACUUAAGGGUUUACAGGAGGGGCACCAUGGCCAAAUACAUAGAGUCUCAACUAAAAUUCAGAUUACAUGUCCAUUGCACAAAGAGAUGGAAACUGAUACAUGAUCAUAAAAUCAUCGCUAGGAUAAAUAUCUUCCUCGGAUUCUCCAUUAGAAAUGAUGCCAUCAUCCUGAUCUUCCUCACUAGGAGCUUCUUAAUGAUUAAAAGGGGCUGGAUGUGGAAUAGGAUUUAUGAUAUUAUUUAAGCGGUGGACAUCUAAUUGCAGCUCAGCAAUCCUAGUAAUCAGCUCUUCCUCUCUCAUUUCAGCAUGGAACAAGGCUCUAACUCUAGCAGCUUCUCUAUUUUCAGCCAAGCGCAAAGCCUCAUCUCUCUCUCUAGUCAUUUGCAUCAUGCAGGCUUGUGCUUCAUUGCGCUCUCUAACUGCGUUCGCAACUUGAUUGCGGCGGGCUUGCAAAGCGGUGUGAUAGUUUUGGAUUUCAGCUUGUGCAUCCAUAAAAGCCUUGCGGUGCUUGCGCACUCUCUUGCGCAGUUUGCGCUGCCCAACCUGAGCUUGCUGAAGCGCUAGCAUGGCAUCUAUGUAGGUGUCCUGGCGCACAUAGUACAGCUUAAGUAUCGCUAGCAUGGCACUCAUGGCAGGGCUAGAACUAUACCCUAGCAAGGUUUCUCUCAUCUCUAAAGACUCAUUCCCAACCUGGGACACAAAUGUGUCAGUCACACUCACUCUGGGAACGGAUCCCGCUGGGCCAUUCACCAGCUCAUCACCAUGCUCUUGGCAAAUCUCUAGCAAAACCUCCAGGGCUGCUACCUGGGCACCCUCCCAAGGAGUUUGGCCAUCACAGUCAACUAACCAACCUAGCCAGUGUGGGUUAUUCAGACAAGUGGGAACUGUAAUUUGAACAUCUACCCAAGGUAAGGCCCCUGCAUGCUCAGCCUCGGUCCAAGUGUACUUAGGUGGUUCCUCAUAUCCAACUGAACUUAGCACCCUCCACAACAAAGUAGGAGUGCCAAACAUGUCCAGGAAAGUCUCACUCGCGUGCGGGGCUGCCAUCUAUAGAAAGACCACAUUUGAGUACGGGAGAUCAAUUACAAGGAGAGAUGAAGAAAUAUGUUUUCAGAAUUUAAUACCCAAGUAGUGCAUAAAGAAUAUAUGAAUGAUUCAUGAUGCAUGCACGUUCCAUACGUCCUUUCCAAUCCUAGAAGAACGUUCUAACGGUAUAGUCGGUGGCAUACAUACGUGCACUCUUUAUACGCAUCUACACGGUCUAAACGUUUCGUUAUUAGUGUACCUGCAGAAGAUUUCAUUUCAGCCCAGCCCCACAGUAGUAUAAGUGCAGAAAUGUAAAUCUAAUCAACAAUCAAUCAAGCUAGGUACUCCGGUAUAUAUUCCCGAACAUAUACCGCAGCACACUACCCAUUUGGGAUACACCCACAUAUACAUCAAAUAUGUACACAUGGCUGCACCUACUACCCACAAUUAAGUACCUUCAUAUAUACAUGUGUGAAACAUGUAAAUAUUCCAGUAACCACAGCUAACACUCCCCUAGACCGACGGUUGGACGGUCAUGCUCUCACAGCUCACACUUACCGUAGCGUAGAGGCAUAUAGAUCCAUACAUUACCACUCAAGCAAGUGGCAUCCAUACAAUUUCACGCCGUGUGGACGACGAAAGAAAACAAACAAUGCUUACCAUGGCGUAGAGGUAUGUGAACCAUUUAUUACCACUUAAGUAAGCGGUAUCCAUAUAAUUACACGCCAUAUAGACGACGAAAGGAAAAACCCCCAUGUUGGUAAUAUUAAGCAACCUAGAAGUCCUUAUAUGGGCAUAAAGGGUAUGACCACUGGCAUGGUAUAAGUUAUCAAAACAUUUUUAAAACAGCCCUACAUAUAGCCUAAUUUUGCCAAAUUAGCUUAGGAAAACCAAAUUCAUUUGUUUUUAAAUACAUCUAUGAUGGUUAAAUGCUUAAUCUUGCUCUGAUGCCAACUGUAACAGAACCGUCCAAUUUAUAAGAAUUCAAGUGAAUUAGCGACCACAGAGGUAGUCAAGCCAAUGGACUUGAACCCAUAUAAACUCGGUAGUCCGACGAAAUCUCAAAAGACCUCGAUUCAACCAACAUACAACCAAGAUCGUACAUGAUCAAGCGUCACCAUCACAGAUUACAACAUCCAUCACAGAACAUAGUUUUACAUCACAUCAGAGUUUAAAAGAGGUUAUUACAAACCAUAGCAGUAGCGGAAACAAAGUAGUUUUGAAACAACACCAACAGUUAUAUUACAUGCCAGCUCUAUGGUCAAGUCCCAACAAAAGCAUAACUGAAGAUAAAGAAGUGAUCACGCCCAUGAUCUACUCAUCAUCCGCAGCUGGGUGAUGACAGUUAGCGCAAUAGCCGUGAUAGACGAUAUCAUCUGCAGCAGGGGUAAAUAAAACCCUGAGUACGAGAAUGUACUCAGCUAGACUUACCCGUCAUAAGCCAGAAAUAAAGUGACACUAAGGAGUAUGCAAGGCUGAUCUUUGUGGACUGGUUUGACUCACUUUUUGCAUAAAAGCCUUUAUUGUAUGUAAAUCAUUUAUUAUAUUUCAGCAGCAAGUUCAUUACUUAGCAACUAUCCACUAGAUUAGCACCUGUUCUAAGCAUACACUUGAGUAAUUAAGCAUUUCAAUAAUAACCAUAUCAGGAUCAUCACUUUGCUAUCAACAUUCUCAUCAUAACCAUUAUGUUUGCAUAGUGAACUCUACGUUGCCGCUGCCCAAGUCAAGUUCUAACUAUCCGGGAGAGACAGCGAUUCGAAUCGAUUCCUAUCCAGCUGGAGGGGUAUUCCUAACACUCACCCAAGCAUACUUCAUGACGGCAGCUCGGAUCACCUUUAGCACAACUCCGGACCAAGUCGCGGGUCCGUCCAGCGCCGCACCCCCAGGGACCGCCAAUCUGCCAGGGCAGGACUCUAACCUGACACCUGGGCUUACGCCAUUGACUCCCCGCACAUCCUUACUAACAACCGGGGUGCGCACUCAUACAGAACGGGGUAUCCGGCUUGAGUUGCACUCGUAGGCUUCGCGGUCGGAACGACUUAUCCGGCCAACUAAGUGAUAGGCAUGCGUUCAACAUGACACGGGGACGUACAGCGAUUCGGUCCUUAAACGACACAGACGAGGAUAGAUUCACACCCAAGACCUCCAUGCCUUGUUGCUGCACUAUUGUCAUCCCGCCCGGUCUCAAAUUCAUUAUUAACACAUGGUUAUUUCCACGAUAGCAAAUAUAGCCAACCGUGAUCAUCAUCCACCUAACUCUCGCAGGUGACAGGAAAUCACCCGGCUUCUACCGAGCUAAGCAUGGCUAAGCAUUACUUCGAUCCUGGACCUACUUUGGUAAUGUUUAAGGUGGACAAGGUAGUCAUUAUGCAGCAAGGGUGUCAUAUCAACGCCUACCACUUAAUGCAACAAUAUAUAACCAUAGUCAUUUGAUAGCUGAACAUGAUAAUCAAAAUAGUAGGAGGCUUAUAAUUCUCCGGGGCUUGCCUUCAACGUAGGUAGAGGGACGGUGGUCAGGGCACUCCGGCAAAUCCUCCUCCUCCUCAGCUCCUUGAGGUGGCUCCCCUUGCUGACCUUCCGGCUCAGGCAACUCGAACUCCAGCACCGUCACUCCCUUGGGUACACCUAUGGAUGCAUGACAAGGAGAUGAAUAUAGGGAAUGCACAUAUGAUGCAUGAUGUCAUGAUGAGGAGCCAAAUAGACAUAAAACAAGGUAUAACAUGAGUGCAAACUUCUAAGAUUAAGUGAAUCAUGGAAUAACAAGUAAGUGCAUACUUCUUCUCUGGUAGAGAGACUAAUUAGACAAGUUAAACAAUUCUAGCUACUCCUACUCAGCCACUGGUUUAGUAGACAAGCCAACCAGUCACAAGUUUUAGCCAUAACUUAAGCAUCAGUUAACCAAACUAAGCAAGUAAGUACUUUCUGGAAAGCUUAGCAAAUUGUCUACAAUUCAUUUUUAGACAUCUCAGCAUGAUUCCCAACCGAAAUAUGCUAAAACAUACAAAGUUGGCUGACUGCUCUGGGAAUUCCAGAGAGCAAGCACUUUGCAGCAGCUACUUGAAAUAUGCAUAACUUUUAAACUACUCAACCAAUUGCCAUGAAAUUUGGACACGAAGUAGAUCAGUAAGUUAGCUACAGGUUUGUUGUAGACAAGUUUCCCAGAAAAUAACAUCUUUAAUUAGUUCUCAAGCAUUUGCUAUCAGCUACACAGAAAUGCUCUAGGAAAGGCAUAAAUAGCCAAAAAUAAUAUUUUGCACAUAUUGAGAAUGUAUCACAGGGAUAAACCAAUUGCACCAGUAGAUAGAACAUAUCUAAGAAACACCAGAAAACAUCAUGGCAAGGUCUAAAACUAUUUCUAUCAUCACCUUUUCCAUUUAUUUAAUUAUUAAGGUGAUUAAAUGAACAUAUACUCCAAGUGUUCCAAAAAUACUAAGGAAAUUACAGCAAGAUACUUAUGCUAACAUAAGAUCACUGUAAAAUUUUCAGAACAUUUGCAUGUACACAUUGUGAGGUAUAAAAAAUAACAAGCUAGUAAAGGCAUGCAAGGCAUAAAUGUGAAACCCUAUCAAAAAGUGUCAAACAACAGAUUUCAGAUUUUUCCUAGCUUUAUCCACACAUAAGUACAACACUCAGCAAGUUUCACCAUAAAAGGAGUUAUACUUUAAUUAUCAAAAAUACCACAAGAUUCUCCUAUUUAAGCAAGGAUUAAUUAUAACUUCCCAACCAGGCUUCCAAAAAUCAUGAAAAAUUUAUCAGAGCCUAAUCAUAACAUAAGUAACAACUCCCCAAAUUUGCAUGGCCAGCAGAUCAAUAGAUCUCAAGAUAAAAUUACCCACUGAAAAUUCAAGAUUAAUUUAUAUCUAUUUAUUUCUGCAAAAACAUGGUAUGUUUCAUAUUUUUAUUAAAAACUAGAAUUCUUCUGGAACCUAGCAAAAUUGGAAUCACCACAUUUGGAUCUCUAAAACUCCAGAUAUGAAUUUUACAAAAACAGCUUUGGCUCUGCACAACAGUGAACCAGAGGGGGGUGACACAGAGAGGCUGACAUCCGGGACCCACACGUCAGUGAGACGGGGACAGGGGAGAUGCUCGUCGCCGGCGAAGCUCGACGACGACGAGGUCUUGGCCGGAUCCAAGGGCACCUACGUGUUCCUCUCAUCAAGGCGACUCUGUUGACCUACUUUACCCACGCUCUGCUGGACUCUAGGGUGCUCGCCGUCGGGAAUGGUGGAGCGGCGGCGCUGCGCGGCGAUACGCCGGUGGAUCCAGGUAACGGCGACGCGGUAGAGGUUGCGGAUGAGCAAGAGCAGCUUAAGGUGAAGCUAAAGGAAGAAGAAUCACGGCCAGAGCUGAACCAGAGAGGUCUGGCCACGUUGCCGGUGAUCUCUGUGAACUCCGGCGAGGUGAAGCUCGCGACGGAGAUGACAAUGUGACCUCACCGGUGCUCGGCUAAGGGAAUGGAGUGGACGUCGAGGUAGAGGACGUCAAGGCGGAGCUCUGGGCGGGCUGGCUUGGCCGGAGACGCGGUGAAACGGCCGGAGAAGCUCGCCGAAGCGCGGCGGAGCUCACCGAGGCGACGGCGGAGCGAAAUGUGCUGCGCUGAGCGAGUGGAGAGCGCGUCUGAGGCGUCCAAUCGGUGCGUGGCGACUUGGAGACGCCGUGGGAGCUGACAGGCGGGGUCGUCGAUGGCGUAUGGUCGACAGGUGGCCGGACACGCGGCGGCGGGCGGCGUCUGUCCAAACUGAAUCGGGCGAUUCAGUCGCCAUGGCUAGUGACUGAAUCCCGAAGUUCGUCGACGUUUUACUCUCAGCUCACUCGGUGGUUUUGGCUGGGAUUUGAUCCUCUGGACAGAGCUACAUGAGUUCUACAACUUUGAUUACAAGAUCAAAGCCUAACUCGGUAUGGAUUUCAAACUACAUAGAUCCAAACAACACUACCUCGAAACUGCGUGACUCAAUACUUAGCCAAAUUUGGCUAAGUAUGGAAUCUGCCCUGAUUUUUGGCUUGUGAGCAAUUUGUGGAUGUGUUAUAAGCUUUUUCAUAAAAAGUCAUCAACAUAACUUUUGUAGCUUAUGAAAUUCUCUACAACUUUGUUUUAGGUGUCAAAGACAUGCAAGGUCUCUAACACAAGUUUCAUAAAACAUCUUUGAAAGGAGGUCUAGGGGGUCAAUUAAGCCAUUCUAGGUUUAACCCUAACCUAGGGGCAUUUUUGGCCAAAACCUUCAACAUGAACUUUGUUCCAAAUGAUAUUCUAAACAUGAUUGAAGUAUUUUGGAAGACAAUGUACACUUGUUUUGUAUUGGUUACCCCUUGUAGUCACUCAAUUCAAGUCACGCAAGCAAUUCAAUCAUACAUGGUAUACAUAAGAUGACAUGUGAUCAUGAUAGAUGCUUAUGAAUGAGCAUGAUGAUGCUUGUGUUGAUGCAAUGCUCAUGGUUAACAUUCAAGCUAACACUAGGAGUGUUACAGCCCUCCCCCCUUACAAAAAUCUCGUCCCGAGAUUUGAAAGAUGUACCACUUUUCGUAGAAUGAGGGAUAAGUUACUUGUAAAUAGUCUUCCCUUUCCCAAGUGGCAUCUCUCUCAUUUUGCGGUUCCACAAAAUUCUAAAAAGUUUGAUCACUUUUCCACGAGUAACUCGUUCUUUGACAUCAAGAACUUGUACAGGCUUUUCUUCAUAAGAUAGAUCUGACUGCAACUUGAUAUCUCUUGAUUCAACUCUCUCUUCGGGCACACGAAGACACUUCUUAAGUUGAGAUACGUGGAAUACAGGGAAAAUAGCUCUCAUUUCGGGAGGUAGUUGCACUUUGUAAGCUACCUUACCACUCUUCUCAAUGAUUUGGUAGGGACCCACAUACCUAGGGGCAAGCUUUCUUUUAACACCAAAGCGAUUUACUCCUUUCAUGGGCGAUACCUUUAGGUACACAAAGUCACCUAAUUCGAACUCGAUUGGCUUUCUUCUUCGGUCAGCAUAGCUUUUCUGCCUAGCUUGGGCGGCUCUCAUGUGUUGUUGGAUAACGAGAACUUGCUUUUCGGCUUCCUUGACAAAGUCAAUUCCGUAGUACCUCCUUUCACCAGGUUCGACCCAGUUUAAAGGAGUUCCACAUUUGCGGCCAUACAAAGCUUCGAAAGGAGCCAUUUGGAUACUCUCUUGAUAACUAUUGUUGUAUGAGAAUUCAGCUAAGGGUAACCAUUUCUCCCACGCACCCUUGGAAGAUAUAACACAGGCCCUCAACAUAUCCUCUAGAAUUUGAUUCACACGCUCAGUUUGACCGGAGGUUUGGGGAUGAUAGGCUGAACUGCGAACCAAUUUUGUACCAAGGAGUGAAUGCAGAUGCUCCCAAAAGCAGGCAGUGAACUGAGGACCUCUAUCAGAAAUAAUAGUGCAAGGCACUCCGUGCAAUUUAACUAUCUGAGAGAAGUACAACUCAGCAUAGUCGGAUGGCCGGUAUGUAGAGUGUACAGGAAUAAAAUGAGUUGACUUGGUUAAACAGUCAACAAUCACCCAUAUAGAAUUGUGUCCUUUUUGAGUAAGGGGAAGUCCAACAAUGAAAUCCAUGCUGAUUUCUUCCCACUUCCAACCUGGAACCGACAAGGGUUGCAAUAAACCUGCAGGUUUGAGGUGAACUGCCUUCACCCUGCAGCAAGUAUCACACCUAGCAACAUAAGCUGCUAUCUCUUUCUUCAUUUUGGUCCACCAGAAAUGAGGUCUCAAGUCUUGGUACAUUUUGCUACUACCCGGAUGAAUGGACAACUUGGAAGAAUGAGCUUCUUCUAAGAUCUUGUUGCGUAGGUCACGGUCUUUGGGUACAACUAGUCGAUCGUCAAACCACAGUACACCUUUCUCAUCUACCUUGAAAUGCUUGGUGUCUUGCUCUUGCAUUUCUCUUUUUAUAUGAUAAAUACCAGGAUCAGAUUUUUGGAGCUCUAUGAUUUGACUUUCUAAGCAGCUGACUAUGAUGUUGUGUAAGACCACAGGAUGCAAUAAAUUGAAGCCUUCCUCUAGGAGAGGUCUAACAUGUUGUUUCCGACUGAGAGCAUCAGCUACAACAUUGGCUUUGCCUGGAUGAUAGUGUACUUCUAAAUUGUAGUCUUUUAUCAAUUCUAGCCAUCUUCUUUGUCUCAUAUUCAGCUCGGGUUGUGUAAAGAUAUAUUUGAGGCUCUUAUGGUCAGUGUAGAUGUGACAUAGAUUACCCAACAGAUAAUGUCUCCAGAGCUUCAAUGCAUGUACAACUGCUGCUAACUCUAGAUCAUGAGUAGGGUAGUUGGCUUCAUGUUUCCUCAGCUGCCGAGAAGCAUAGGCAAUAACUCGGCCUUCUUGCAUAAGUACACAACCUAGGCCAGUGCCAGAUGCAUCACAAAAGACAUCAAAUGGCUUUUCAAUGUCAGGCUGUGCCAGAACAGGAGCGGUUGUCAGCAAAUGGCGUAAAGUGGUGAAAGCAACUUCACACUCCUCGGACCACACAAACUUCACAUCCUUUUGCAGUAGCUUGGUCAUAGGCUUAGCUAUUUUGGAGAAGUCUGGAAUAAAAUGCCGAUAAUAUCCAGCUAGGCCGAGAAAACUCCGGACUUCAUGCACUGAAGUCGGGGCCUUCCAGUCUAGAACCUCUUGCACCUUUGACGGGUCAACAGAAAUACCCUCUUCGGAUAAAAUAUGGCCUAAGAAAGUCACUUUCUUCAGCCAAAACUCACACUUGCUGAACUUGGCAUAGAGCUGAUGUUCUCGCAAUCUAGUGAGUACAAUCCGAAGGUGCUUCUCAUGUUGUUGUACAUUUUCAGAAUACACCAAUAUAUCAUCGAUGAACACCACCACAAACUUAUCCAGUUCAGGCAUGAACACCGAAUUCAUCAGGUACAUGAAAUGAGCAGGGGCAUUAGUCAGACCAAAGGACAUGACUAAAUACUCAGACAACCCAUACCUGGUAGAGAAAGCCGUUUUAGGAAUGUCUUCAAGUCGGAUCUUGAUUUGAUGAUACCCAGAUCGCAGAUCAAUUUUGGAGAAUACUUUGGCCUUAGCUAAUUGAUCAAAUAGGAUAUCAAUGCGAGGCAGUGGGUACUUGUUUUUGACAGUCACGACAUUCAGCGGACGAUAGUCUACACACAUACGUAGAGACUGUUGACGGUCCUUAAGUAUCCAAUUUAACUAUCAAAUAAACAAAGAAAAGGAUCCAAAUGAAAUCAACAUCGAGACUUAGGGUUUUAUCUGACAGAAUUCCACGAGUUUUGGUGUUUGUCUAUUUCUGCAGGGGGUUAUCAGGAAAUAAGGAAGAAAGGCCCACACGUCGGGUUUACAUAGAGGUAUUAACGUGCCGCGCAAUUUUCUACCAUCUAGAAGACUCCAGAAGCCACGGGAACGAACGGGAGGCCGAUCGGGCCCAGGACCAGGGCGCCCGCCCACCUCCUGUGGCCAAUCACGCUCAAUCUCGCGGAUUAUGCUCCACCGACCUAAAGGAUCAAGAAUAACCGUUCAAUCAAUGUCGGUUUGAUCCGACGGCCCAGGUUCACUUGAGGGGACUAUAAAACCAGACCCCCUAGCCCAUGGAGGAGGCAACCCCUUGAUCAUUAUUCAUUAUUCAUAGACAGAGCAAAAGCUAGGGUUUAGAGAUGAGAGCUCUCCUCUCUUCUCUAAACUAGAGUAGAUCUAGAUAGUAGCGAGAUGGAGAGCGAAGGAGGAUUAGAGGAGAGGCCGACCUGUCGGUUCUUCCUCCGGUUGUACUUCGCCAUGAUCAAGCUCUAAUCAAGCUUGCUCAUGGGAUGACUCUGGUAAUCUACUUCUAAUUCAUUAUGCAAUUACUAAUUAUGUAUGUUCUGGUUCGCAACUCUUUUGAGUACUUCUAAUCUAUAGGACCCUAUAGGUUAGAGUUGUAGUAUAGGUGUAAGCGUGGUGCUUAGACCUAGAUUACUUGUGGAUAUCCCCUGACUAGCUGGAUCAUGUGGUAGGCCGCGUAGGUGACAGUUACGUUGGUCCCCUGUAGUCCACCUCUCGUUAGCAGGAUGGGUAGGGUUUAUCGGCCUAUGGAUAAGCAUCCUUUGUGGUGUACUCUUAUCACGUGGUUCGUCCCAGACAUAGACAUACCCCUUUGAAGUAGAGAAACCAUAGUUAUCCUCUCUAUUCUGCUACCAUCGCCCAUAUACUAGAAUUGCUCUCCUCUCGAUUCCCAUAUUAUUACCCAAUGUUAUCUUACCUUUAAUAUUGUUCUUAUUCGAUUCUAUCAUCUUUCCUAUUUACACCAUCUAUCUAUCUUGGUUAAGUUAGAGCGUAGUUGGUUCUCCCGUUUCCCUGUGGAUACGAUAAAACCUUUAACCGGUUAAAAGCUUCAACGGUAUCCGUGCGCUUGCGGAUUAUCUGUGUGCGUAUAAAUACAAUAGUACACUCUAGUGCCAUGCUGGGGAUGACAACCUAGUAUUCAAGUGGUGUUAGCAAGUGUCAACAAGCAUUUUUGGCGCCGUUGCUGGGGAAACGGUUGCUGAGUUGACUACGAACUAGUUUAAUCAUUUUAUAAAUAUAUAUAUAUAUAUAAAUAUAUAUAUAUUUUCCUUUUAUCCUUUGCCUCAUCUCUGCUAUUCAUUCUUCUUAUUUAAUCCUUGAUCUCUGGUCUAUUAUGAAUUCAAACAUGUCUAUCUAUGAAUUUCAUAAACCUGUGGGCACACAUCUCGAACCACCAAAAUCUUCAAAGCCUAUCAUAGCAUCUAGUUUUGAGAUAGACCCCGAAUACAUAGAAUUUAUUCAAAAACAACCUUUCUCAGGAGAAGGUGAGGAAAACCCAUACACACACCUAAGAGAGUUUUAUCGAGUCUGUGACCUCCUUCGCAUAGAAGGCAUGUCCGAUGAGACCCUUAAAUGGAAGCUCUUUCCGUUCUCUUUAACGGGAAAAGCUAGACAUUGGUAUAAACUCAAAGUAGGGAGUGUUCAUGGAGAUUGGAAGGAGUUAUAUAGUAGUUUUCUUUCUAAAUAUUUUCCAAUCUCCAAAGUGGUGGAACUUCGGCAUGAGAUUCUUUCUUUUAGACAAUUGGAAGAAGAAUCUCUUGGCAAAUCAUGGGACCGCUUUAUUAACCUUACUCUCAGUGGCCCAAAACUUUCUAUUCCAGAAGAAGUUCUUCUAAUUCACUUUUUUGAGGGCCUUAGUAAGGAAGAUAAGCAAACCCUUCAUGCGGCCUCUGGAGGAUCUUUCCACCACCUAUCCGCUAGUGAAGCUUGGAAUUUGAUUGAUUUAAUGAGCGGAAAGUCUCCUAGCUUUUAUAUCCCUGAGAAAGAGAAAGAACCAGUUCCUAGACAAGAAGAAGAAGUUUCGAUAGCCAGAUUACAACCACUUCAAUCCCAAACUUUAGCUAUCGAUCCUAAACCAUCAAUACCCCAAAAUUCUCCAAGGGAGGAAGGAAUUCCGACCUUAAAUCUUUUAGAUGCUGAUGGUUUAGACUUUUGGUUCUAUAAGAGACCUUCAAGCAGGGAUAAUUCAAAUCAUUGCAAUAAUGUUUCUCUUAGAGAAUGUCCUCAUUCCUGUUAUGAAGAAGUCGAGGAUGACAUAUCAAGUGAAGGAGAGCUAAGCCAUAUUGAAAAUUCUAACACCUCCCCUUUCCUAAUCACAAGUUCUACAUGGCUAGAAUGUGUAGAAUGGAUGGAUAAGGAAGAAGCCUUAAUGGAUUCUGACUUUAGCUCAAUUUCAAAUGGUGAGUUCUUGACUCCCUUUGAAGAUGAGAUUCACCCAACUAUAGAAGAGGACAUAAGUGAGACCAAUCCAAGAGAAACUCUGAACAUUCAGAUUGGAGACGAAGAUAACAUUAAUGAGCAUGGAAUUUAUUUCAUAGCCACUUCGUUUACUCCAUGCUCAUAUGCAACAUCUUCCCAAUCUAUUGGUCUCUCCGACAUCACCACACUUGAGAUCUCCAACCCCCUCUUCCUUUCGAUUUAUAGAAACUUUAAAAGGGCGGCUGUCGAUGCAUAUGUCUAUAAUAAAUAUUGCAGAUCUCGUUGAGUUGAUCUAGAUAUAGGUCGGCGUCGGAGGGGAAACCACUUCGCCAACAUAAACUGAUGGUUUCCCAAGGACAAGCUUAGUGUCUUAAAAUAAGCAUUGAUCAGAUCGUAUCAUGAGCCUUUAAUUAUUUGCAACAUUACCUUUUGUAUUGAGCAUAUAAGGAUAAUUGUAAAAAAAAAAUAUUCCUUCGGGUAUUCUUGUCACUAACCUUUCUAAGAUUGGAGCAAGAAGAUCGAAUGAAUGACAAGCACAAGGUAUGUCCAACCAAUCAUCAUACAACAUUGAAUUAAAUUCAUCCAAACUUGAAUUUUGCAAAAUUCAAGCUUGGGGAGUACUUUACAUAAAAACAUCCUUUGCCAUGUUGCUAUGCUGGUUGUCCCUACCUUUGAGACAUGCUCAAUUUGUUAAAUACUAAUCACACUACUUCAUCUCCACUUGAGUAGAUCUCUAUAAAUGUUGUCAUGCUACCUUUGUCUAUUUACUAGCAAGUGUUGGUUUGGAAGUACUCGCCAUACUUCCAUUGGCAUUUAAAUUAAGCAUGGUGCUUAGGUUAAAUAGCCUUCCUUAAUCUGAUUAGACAUGGAGUCUAGUUUGGUUAUUGAACUAAAAAAAAACUGCUUGAGUAGAUAUUGGUAUAUUUUGUCAGACUAACCCCUGCAGAUAAACUUUCAAUAUCCAUUUUUGAAGUCUUGAGAUAAACUCACAUCAGAGACGAAGAGAGUGACACAUGAAGUUUAACAAUUUGCACAAGAUGGACAUAGCUCAUUCAUCAUAGAGAGAUGAUCUAUGGAGGGUGCCACAAACACGACGCACAACCGCUAAGAAAGGAAAGCUUCCACAAGAUGAUACUGUACCAUCACUCUUCGAGCAAGGUAACAUCUUAAGAUACUUGACUAUCACUUUUAUAAGCUUCUCCUUGGUUCUGGCAUUCAUAUAAAUAAAAGAGACAAUCGUGUAUGAUUUACAACUCUAGAUUAACCAACCCAACUGAUGCAACAUGUUUAGUCCUUUAAUCCUUGUUCUAAGUACUACCUCCAUGAUCCCACACUCCUAAUCAUAUGAGCUAAAAUGUUACACAUUCAAUCAUUGAGAGAUAUAAAGAAAAUGACGUAUACAUAGAUAGAUUAUCUUUCCAUAAGGUUGAGCGAUCUGAUCUGACAAAUGUUAUAAGUGCUACACUCAUGAACUUAUCAUCCAUCAACUUUGUCUUGCUCACUAUGCUUAAGGUUAGAGAAGAACAAAUACACUUUUGGUUCUGUUGGUGUUUUCCACCAACAGGGCCCAUGCACUUGAUCUUUGCCUUGUCUCUAUGAGCAGGUACACUACGAGCACAAACACACUGAGUAAGAUACUGCUAACACCUCACUUCGAACUGCUGGGCAAACGAAGAACAUGGGUGACACCGUAUUAAAAGGUGCAGACGUCAAGGUCCGCACCUGAAUCAAAUGACGCACCUGAAGAAUGAACACGGUGAGAAGUCUUGUCAAGAAGACUUAAAACAUUGAACCCUCGCCGAAAGGUAAGAUUGGUAGUUAUCCAUAUUUAUCCUUUCUGCAUUCCCUUUUCCCUUUAAUUAUUUACUUGCCUUAAAUAGAUUAUUAGUUAAUCAUGCUAUCUUGAAAAGAAAAUAAAAAUGUUAAAAAAAUACUAAACCCCAUGUGAGUAUACGAGUGGCAUAAAACCCAUAAGUACCUUCACUGUGGUGGCAUAAAAAUAAAAUAAAUAUUUCUUUUUUUACUUUAUAAAAUAAAAAUAUAAAAACAGGGAGUAAUAUUUAUUGAGGAAGUUCAACGUGAUGAAGGCUAGAUAUUUAUGCAAACACUUAAUUAGUUCCACAAGCUUUGUUGUCUAUUUGAGCUCCACAGAAUUUAAGAAUCAAGAAGACUAGCAGAUGGAGGACAUUCUAAUCGCUGUCAGAAUGCUGCUGACUUUCAAAUACACCUCUGCCACCUGCUAGCUACAUCAAGAGAAAUUACGUCAAAAUUCAGCUUGGGGGAGAGCACCCCUAUUUAUCUCGCUAAGUAUUUCUUCCUAUCUUUAUACUUAUAUUAUAUUAGAAUAUUAAAAUACAUAAACUAUGAAAAACCAAAUAAAGAUUUUAUGCUUAUAUAUAUAUAUAUAUCUUUUCUUAGUUUGCUAAAUAAAUAAAUAAAUAAAUAAAUAAAGUUUGCUAUGAAUCUUAAUAAUAAAACUCUAGCAAGGAUAUGAUGAAUAGUUGCUCUGCCUAAUUUGCAAAUUUAAAGUUCUCUCUCAAGUUUAGACAUAACUGUUAUAAUUUAAAGCUUGCUCUAGAUCUAAACUUUUGGGAUGAAAACUUGAUGUGAAAUCUAAGUUGUUAACGGAUAAGAUAUGGGAAGGUUGAGCUGCUGUUUAUCUGUUCCUAGAGAUGCUAGAAUUCUGGAGAAUUUUAUCUUUGAAAAUCUUUAAAAUGUUGCAUGAUGAGUUCCUGUAUGAUGAGAGUUUAAAUUCCUACCACAGCUAUAUAUACAUGCUUGCUAGACUUUGAGCCACACAUUUAUUUACUGCUUAUGAGCAUUGAGUGUGGUCAAGCUGUGUAGACCCUUAGGAGCUUGUCAUGUGGUUAAAUCAAGAUUCACUUGCACGUUCACUCAUAUAUGCUACUUCUACUCCGGAAGUACCAUCCACAUAUAUCCAUCCAUUUCCAUCUCCAGUUUCAUCCAAAAAUAUUCUGCUCCUAAUCCGGGAGAGAAUAACCAAAAAUAUUUCUGUUUUCCUUUCUGAAAUAAAUGCUCAAGUUAUAUUGCUACUACCACUUGCUAUAUUAUCUCAAGAGAUGAGUGCUCUAAAAAAAGAAAAGAGAAGAAAAGAAAAAAUAAUAAACGAGGAAAUAAAAAGGGGCAAGUGCCCGGAACCUCGAAAGAAAGAAAAAGUGAGACGAGAGGUAAAAAUGGACAAGUGUCCGACAGUAGAAUUAGGGGUACAAGAUACCCACCUGAGAGGAAAGAAAAAGAAGAGCAUCUCAUUCUCCUCAUAAAGUUUCAAAAAGCAUGGAAGGUAUGUAUACCCUCAAAAGAGCAAAAGUAGAACUAGACUUUCACCAUUGUUAUCACCAUCAUCACCAUACACCAUUCAUUCGCCACACAUGCACAUCUUGAUUUAGCUUAUUGAUUUGUUUCUUUGGAUCCAUGGUUUGACUACACAAUAAAUGUAUUGUAAGUAUGUAUACUUUAUCUCCCACCUAUAAGCUCCAGAUAUUAAAGCCUUAUUAGAGUAGGGUGAGAGAGAAGGCAAUGUCACUAUGCCUUAUACCACAAAUACCACAUAUCUUGAGAGAAGGCAUAUACCAUCACUAACUUGGUAAGGAUCCAGAAAUACCACAAAAGAGAGAUUUAGAGAGUCAUACAAGGAAUCUCUGAGUUUUAUUUGAAAAUCUACAAAAACUCCAGAGCUAUAGCUGAUCAAGAAUAAGAGACAUGGCACUUGGCUAGACUGUUCUAUCUUUUAACUACUCAAGACAGAAGUGACGGUUACAAGUCCCAUGGUGAAGGUAAAGUAAGUAAGUUUUAGUUCUUGACAGUUGACUCUAACUCAGAGAUGAGAUCUUAUUUAAAAGCAUGUGUACCGUCAAAUUUUUAAGAUAUUGCAACAACUUCUGAUCCAUUGCUGAGUCUAUCCUUGCUCAGGGACGAGCAAGAGGUAAGCUUGGGGGAGUUGUUGACGGUCCUUAAGUAUCAAAUUUAACUAUCAAAUAAACAAAGAAAAGGAUCCAAAUGAAAUCAACAUCGAGACUUAGGGUUUUAUCUGACAGAAUUCCACAAGUUUUGGUGUUUGUCUAUUUCUGCAGGGGGUUAUCAGGAAAUAAGGAAGAAAGGCCCACACGUCAGGUUUACAUAGAGAUAUUAACGUGCCGCACAAUUUUCUACCAUCUAGAAGACUCCAGAAGCCACGGGAACGAACGGGAGGCCGAUCAGGCCCAGGACGUGGGCGCCCGCCCCGUCCUACUGGGCUUCCCGCCCACCUCCUGUGGCCAAUCACGCUCAAUCUCGCGGAUUAUGCUCCACCGACCUAAAGGAUCAAGAAUAACCGUUCAAUCAAUGUCGGUUUGAUCCGACGGCCCAGGUUCACUUGAGGGGACUAUAAAACCAGACCCCCUGGCCCCUGGAGGAGGCAACCCCUUAAUCAUUAUUCAUUAUUCAUAGACAGAGCAAAAGCUAGGGUUUAGAUAUGAGAGCUCUCCUCUCUUCUCUAAACUAGAGUUGAUCUAGAUAGUAGUGAGAUGGAGAGCGAAGGAGGAUUAGAGGAGAGGCCGGCCUGUCGGUUCUUCCUCCGGUUGUACUUCGCCAUGAUCAAGCUCUAAUCAAGCUUGCUCAUGGGAUGACUAUGGUAAUCUACUUCUAAUUCAUUAUGCAAUUACUAAUUAUGUAUGUUCUGGUUCACAACUCUUUUGAGUACUUCUAAUCUAUAGGACCCUAUAGGUUAGAGUUGUAGUAUAGGUGUAAGCGUGGUGCUUAGACCUAGAUUACUUGUGGAUAUCCCCUGACUAGCUGGAUCGUGUGGUAGGCCGCGUAGGUGACAGUUACGUUGGUCCCCUGUAGUCCACCUCUCGUUAGCAGGAUGGGUAGGGUUUAUCGGCCUAUGGAUAAGCAUCCUUUGUGGUGUACUCUUAUCACGUGGUUCGUCCCAAACAUAGACAUACCCCUUUGAAGUAGAGAAACCAUAGUUAUCCUCUCUAUUCUGCUACCAUCGCCCAUAUACUAGAAUUGCUCUACUCUCUAUUCCCAUAUUAUUACCCAUUGUUAUCUUACCUUUAAUAUUGUUCUUAUUCGAUUCUAUCAUCUUUCCUAUUUACACCUAUCUAUCUAUCUUGGUUAAGUUAGAGCGUAGUUGGUUCUCCCGUUUCCCUGUGGAUACGAUAAAACCUUUAACCGGGUAAAAGCUUCAACGGUAUCCGUGCGCUUGCGGAUUAUCUGUGUGCGUAUAAAUACCAUAGUACACUCUAGUGCCAUGCUGGGGAUGACAACCUAGUAUUCAAGUGGUGUUAGCAAGUGUCAACAGAGACUUGUCCUUCUUCUUGACAAAGAGAGCCGGACAACCCCAUGGAGAAGUGCUAGGCCGAAUAAGACCCUUCUCUAGGAGUUCUUGCAAUUGCUUUUUCAACUCUGCCAAUUCAUUGGGUGGCAUUCGGUAUGGCCUUCUAGAGAUAGGUGCGGUACCCGGAAUUAGAUCAAUUUUAAACUCGAUGUCCCUGUCCGGUGGCAACCCGGGCAGAUCCUCUGGAAAGACAUCCGGAAACUCACACACUACCGGAAUCUCUGCCAAAGUGAGUGGUCGAAUAGCAUUGGCUGCGUGACGGAUGUCGUUGCUUCUAGGGAGUUGAACUAAGAAAGCUUCUUUACUAUCAGGCUCCCUCAACAUGAUGACCCUAGUUGAAGUGUCUAUUAGCACUCCAUGAUCGCUCAUCCACUUCAUUCCUAGUAUAACAUCUAUCCCCAAGCCUGGUAGAACCACGAGAUUUGCUGAAUACUUACGCCCUUCUAUGGUAAUAUGUACAUCCCUCACUACUUGAUUGGUAGCAAUUUGAUUACCAGCAGCACUAAUGCAAGAUUUUCCACUAUCAAGGUCAAUGACAUGUUGCCCAUGCUUAGAUGUGAAUGCUUGACUCAUAAAUGAAUGUGAAGCUCUCGAAUCAAAUAAGACAACUGCAGGGUGUUGAUUUACAAGGAACAUACCAGCCAUGAUCACUUCACCUUCAGGAAUUUCUUCAAUGGUGGUAUAGUGCACUCGGCCGGGACGAGUAGUAACCCCAGCAGCAGAAGUCCUCCUAGGGUAAGGGCAAUCUCUCGCCCAAUGACCAACUUGUUUGCAAUUGAAGUAGGGGCGGUUAUCAGGAGGAUUCUUGGGACUCCCUUGACCCGUGGCACCUCUUGGGAGAGCAACUGUGAAAGACUUGCGAACUCCCGUCUUCACAUUUGACUUUUUCUGCGGUGGCCUGUACCUUGUCACAGCAUUGGGUGGGCGAUAGGCCGGCUUGCUUGGCCCUGGAGCCUUGGACUGCGAAGCACCUGCCUCAUAGGCCCUCUUGCGGUUCUUGGAUGCGGCAUACACAGCAUUAGAAUUUUCCUGAGUCAAUGCAUCACUCACAAACUCGUUGAAGGUGGUACUCUUGUUACCAGCCAUGUUCUUGGACAACUUGGGUCCCAACCCUCUCUUGAAACUAGCGAGUUUCUUGGCUUCGGUGUCAACCAUUUCAGGAGCAUAACGAGACAAACUGUUAAAAGCAUGAAGAUACUCAGUCAAGCUUUUAGUGCCUUGCGUUAGGUUCAUGAACUCGGUGUGCUUGAUAGUCAUUAAGCCUUGGGGAAUGUAAGUAUUCCUGAAAGCAGUUGUGAACUGGUCCCAGGUUACAACAGCAUUGGCAGGCAAGCUGGUCCUGUAAUGACUCCACCAGACACCUGCUCUGCCCUCCAACUGGUGGGCUGCAUAUUCCGCCUUUAGCUCUUCGGUCACCCUCAGCAAGCCGAACUUCUGCUCGAGAGUGUUGAUCCAUUCAUCAGCUUCUAGAGGUUCGAUAGCCUCCUUGAAAAGCGGUGGUUUUGUGUCUUGGAAAUCCUUGAAACUGCUGUACUGAUUUGCCUCUCCGCCUUGGCGGGCAUGGCGACCACCCCGAUUCUGUUGUGCCAUAGUUUGCAUAGCCUCAUUGAGCAUACGCUGGCCCUCAACAAGAGCUGCCAAUAGCUCAGUAGGCGUAGGCGGGGGAGGAGGUGGUGGCGAUGGCACCUCGUUGUGACCGGAGCGAGUAUUGCGAGCCAUCUGCACAAGGCAUACCAAGUGAUUGUUUCAGGCGACAGAUAUAAUUGUCAUGAACUUCAAUUGCUGCCCUACGGAAUUUAAUGAAGUAAAUUCACAUAAAUCAAGCCGCAGUAAUCCAUGUACAAUAAGAAAAUAUCUGCCAUGACACUUGGUUAAUCUCGCGAUCAAUCACAGCCACACCUUCUCAAAGAUUAAAGACAUUGCAGAGAAUUAUCUAGGCUCAACAUAAAACAUGGAGCAUCACAAAUAAGUGCAUAGGGUUACAUAGAGUUAUUGUCACAACUUAAGGGUUUACAGGAGGGGCACCAUGGCCAAAUACAUAGAGUCUCAACUAAAAUUCAGAUUACAUGUCCAUUGCACAAAGAGAUGGAAACUGAUACAUGAUCAUAAAAUUAUCGCUAGGCUACAUAUCUUCCUCGGAUUCUCCAUUAGAAACGAUGCCAUCAUCCUGAUCUUCCUCACUAGGAGCUUCUUCAUGAUUAAAAGGGGCUGGAUGUGGAAUAGGAUUUAUGAUAUUAUUUAAGCGGUGGACAUCUAAUUGCAGCUCAGCAAUCCUAGUAAUCAGCUCUUCCUCUCUCAUUUCAGCAUGGAACAAGGCUCUAACUCUAGCAGCUUCUCUAUUUUCAGCCAAGCGCAAAGCCUCAUCUCUCUCUCUAGUCAUUUGCAUCAUGCGGGCUUGUGCUUCAUUGCGCUCUCUAACUGCGUUCGCAACUUGAUUGCGGCGGGCUUGCAAAGCGGUGUGAUAGUUUUGGAUUUCAGCUUGUGCAUCCAUAAAAGCCUUGCGGUGCUUGCGCACUCUCUUGCGCAGUUUGCGCUGCCCAACCUGAGCUUGCUGAAGCGCUAGCAUGGCAUCUAUGUAGGUGUCCUGGCGCACAUAGUACAGCUUAAGUACCGCUAGCAUGGCACUCAUGGCAGGGCUAGAACUAUACCCUAGCAAGGUUUCUCUCAUCUCUAAAGACUCAUUCCCAACCUGGGACACAAAUGUGUCAGUCACACUCACUCUGGGAACGGAUCCCGCUGGGCCAUUCACCAGCUCAUCACCAUGCUCUUGGCAAAUCUCUAGCAAAACCUCCAGGGCUGCUACCUGGGCACCCUCCCAAGGAGUUUGGCCAUCACAGUCAACUAACCAACCUAGCCAGUGUGGGUUAUUCAGACAAGGGGGAACUGUAAUUUGAACAUCUACCCAAGGUAAGGCCCCUGCAUGCUCAGCCUCGGUCCAAGUGUACUUAGGUGGUUCCUCAUAUCCAACUGAACUUAGCACCCUCCACAACAAAGGAGUGCCAAACAUGUCCAGGAAAGUCUCACUCGCGUGCGGGGCUGCCAUUUGUAGAAAGACCACAUUUGAGUACGGGAGAUCAAUUACAAGGAGAGAUGAAGAAAUAUGUUUUCAGAAUUUAAUACCCAAGUAGUGCAUAAAGAAUAUAUGAAUGAUUCAUGAUGCAUGCACGUUCCAUACGUCCUUUCCAAUCCUAGAAGAACGCUCUAACGGUAUAGUCGGUGGCAUACAUACGUGCACUCUUUAUACGCAUCUACACGGUCUAAACGUUUCGUUAUUAGUGUACCUGCAGAAGAUUUCAUUUCAGCCCAGCCCCACAGUAGUAUAAGUGCAGAAAUGUAAAUCUAAUCAACAAUCAAUCAAGCUAGGUACUCCGGUAUAUAUUCCCGAACAUAUACCGCAGCACACUACCCAUUUGGGAUACACCCACAUAUACAUCAAAUAUGUACACAUGGCUGCACCUACUACCCACAAUUAAGUACCUUCAUAUAUACAUGUGUGAAACAUGUAAAUAUUCCAGUAACCACAGCUAACACUCCCCUAGACCGACGGUUGGACGGUCAUGCUCUCACAGCUCACACUUACCGUAGCGUAGAGGCAUAUAGAUCCAUACAUUACCACUCAAGCAAGUGGCAUCCAUACAAUUUUACGCCGUGUGGACGACGAAAGAAAACAAACAAUGCUUACCAUGGCGUAGAGGUAUGUGAUCCAUUUAUUACCACUUAAGUAAGCGGUAUCCAUAUAAUUACACGCCAUAUAGACGACGAAAGGAAAAACCCCCAUGUUGGUAAUAUUAAGCCACCUAGAAGUCCUUAUAUGGGCAUAAAGGGUAUGACCACUGGUAUGGUAUAAGUUAUCAAAACAUUUUUAAAACAGCCCUACAUAUAGCCUAAUUUUGCCAAAUUAGCUUAGGAAAACCAAAUUCAUUUGUUUUUAAAUACAUCUAUGAUGGUUAAAUGCUUAAUCUUGCUCUGAUGCCAGUUGUAACAGAACCAUCCAAUUUAUAAGAAUUCAAGUGAGUUAGCGACCACAGAGGCAGUCAAGCCAAUGGACUUGAACCCAUAUAAACCCGGUAGUCCGACGAAAUCUCAAAAGACCUCGAUUCAACUAACAUACAAACAAGAUCGUACAUGAUCAAGCAUCACCAUCACAGAUUACAACAUCCAUCACAGAACAUAGUUUUACAUCACAUCAGAGUUUAAAAGAGGUUAUUACAAACCAUAGCAGUAGCGGAAACAAAGUAGUUUUGAAACAACACCAACAGUUAUAUUACAUGCCAGCUCUAUGGUCAAGUUCCAACAAAAGCAUAACUGAAGAUAAAGAAGUGAUCACGCCCAUGAUCUACUCAUCAUCCGCAGCUGGGUGAUGACAGUUAGCGCAAUAGCCGUGAUAGACGAUAUCAUCUACAACAGGGGUAAAUAAAACCCUGAGUACGAGAAUGUACUCAGCUAGACUUACCCGUCAUAAACCAAAAAUAAAGUGACACUAAGGAGUAUGCAAGGCUGAUCUUUGUGGACUGGUUUGACUCACUUUUUGCAUAAAAGCCUUUAUUGUAAGUAAAUCAUUUAUUAUAUUUCAGCAGCAAGUUCAUUACUUAGCAACUAUCCACUAGAUUAGCACCUGUUCUAAGCAUGCACUUGAGUAAUUAAGCAUUUCAAUAAUAACCAUAUCAGGAUCAUCACUUUGCUAUCAACAUUCUCAUCAUAACCAUUAUGUUUGCUUAGUGAAUUCUACGUUGCCGCUGCCCAAGUCAAGUUCUCACUAUCCGGGAGAGACGGCGAUUCGAAUCGAUUCCUAUCCAGCUGGAGGGGUAUUCCUAACACUCACCCGAGCAUACUUCAUGACGGCAGCUCGGAUCACCUUUAGCACAACUCCGGACCAAGUCGCGGGUCCGUCCAGCGCCGCACCCCCAGGGACCGCCAAUCUGCCAGGGCAGGACUCUAACCUGACACCUGGGCUUACGCCAUUGACUCCCCGCACAUCCUUACUACCAACCGGGGUGCGCACUCAUACAGAACGGGGUAUCCGGCCUGAGUUGCACUCGUAGGCUUCGCGGUCGGAACGACUUAUCCGGCCAACUAAGUGAUAGGCAUGCGUUCAACAUGACACGGGGACGUACAGCGAUUCGGUCCUUAAACGACACAGACGGGGAUAGAUUCACACCCAAGACCUCCAUGCCUUGUUGCUGCACUAUCGUCAUCCCGUCCGGUCUCAAAUUCAUUAUUAACACAUGGUUAUUUCCACGAUAGCAAAUAUAGCCAACCGUGAUCAUCAUCCACCUAACUCUCGCAGGUGACAGGAAAUCACCCGGCUUCUACCGAGCUAAGCAAGGCUAAGAAUUACUUCGAUCCUGGACCUACUUUGGUAAUGUUUAAGGUGGACAAGGUAGUCAUUAUGCAGCAAGGGUGUCAUAUCAAUGCCUACCACUUAAUGCAACAAUAUAUAACCAUAGUCAUUUGAUAGCUGAACAUGAUAAUCAAAAUAGUAGGAGGCUUAUAAUGCUCCGGGGGUUGCCUUCAACGUAGGUAGAGGGACGGUGGUCAGGGCACUCCGGCAAAUCCUCCUCCUCCUCAGCUCCUUGAGGUGGCUCCCCUUGCUGACCUUCCAGCUCCAGCAACUCGAACUCCAGCACCGUCACUCCCUUGGGUACACCUAUGGAUGCAUGACAAGGAGAUGAAUAUAGGGAAUGCACAUAUGAUGCAUGAUGUCAUGAUGAGGAGCCAAAUAGACAUAAAACAAGGUAUAACAUGAGUGCAAACUUCUAAGAUUAAGUGAAUCAUGGAAUAACAAGUAAGUGCAUACUCCUUCUCUGGUAGAGAGACUAAUUAGACAAGUUAAACAAUUCUAGCUACUCCUACUCAGCCACUGGUUUAGUAGACAAGCCAACCAGUCACAAGUUUUAGCCAUAACUUAAGCAUCAGUUAACCAAACUAAGCAAGUAAGUACUUUCUGGAAAGCUUAGCAAAUUGUCUACAAUUCAUUUUUAGAAAUCUCAGCAUGAUUCCCAACCGAAAUAUGCUAAAACAUACAAAGUUGGCUGACUGCUCUGGGAAUUCCAGAGAGCAAGCACUUUGCAGCAGCUACUUGAAAUAUGCAUAACUUUUAAACUACUCAACCAAUUGCCAUGAAAUUUGGACACGAAGUAGAUCAGUAAGUUAGCUACAAGUUUGUUGUAGACAAGUUUCCCAGAAAAUAACAUCUUUAAUUAGUUCUCAAGCAUUUGCUAUCAGCUACACAGAAAUGCUCUAGGAAAGGCAUAAAUAGCCAAAAAUAAUAUUUUGCACAUAUUGAGAAUGUAUCACAGGGAUAAACCAAUUGCACCAGUAGAUAGAACAUAUCUAAGAAACACCAGAAAACAUCAUGGCAAGGUCUAAAACUAUUUCUAUCAUCACCUUUUCCAUUUAUUUAAUUAUUAAGGUGAUUAAAUGAACAUAUACUCCAAGUGUUCCAAAAAUACUAAAGAAAUUACAGCAAGAUACUUAUGCUAACAUAAGAUCACUGUAAAAUUUUCAGAACAUUUGCAUGUACACAUUUUGAGGUAUAAAAAAUAACAAGCUAGUAAAGGCAUGCAAGGCAUAAAUGUGAAACCCUAUCAAAAAGUGUCAAACAACAGAUUUCAGAUUUUUCCUAGCUUUAUCCAGACAUAAGUACAACACUCAGCAAGUUUCACCAUAAAAGGAGUUAUACUUUAAUAAUCAAAAAUACCACAAGAUUCUCCUAUUUAAGCAAGGAUUAAUUAUAACUUCCCAACCAGGCUUCCAAAAAUCAUGAAAAAUUUAUCAGAGCCUAAUCAUAACAUAAGUAACAACUCCCCAAAUUUGCAUGGCCAGCAGAUCAAUAGAUCUCAAGAUAAAAUUACCCACUGAAAAUCCAAGAUUAAUUUAUAUCUAUUUAUUUCUGCAAAAACAUGGUAUGUUUCAUAUUUUUAUUAAAAACUAGAAUUCUGCUGGAACCUAGCAAAAUUGGAAUCACCACAUUUGGAUCUCUAAAACUCCAGAUAUGAAUUUUACAAAAACAGCUUUGGCUCUGCACAACAGUGAACCAGAGGGGGGUGACACAGAGAGGCUGACAUCCGGGACCCACGCGUCAGUGAGACGGGGACAGGGGAGAUUCUCGUCGCCGGCGAAGCUCGACGACGACGAGGUCUCGGCCGGAUCCAAGGGCACCUACGUGUUCCUCUCAUCAAGGCGACUCUGUUGACCUACUUUACCCGCGCUCUACUGGACUCUAGGGUGCUCGCCGUCGGGAAUGGCGGAGCGGCGGCGCUGCGCGGCGAUACGCCGGUGGAUCCAGGUAACGGCGACGCGGUAGAAGUUGCGGAUGAGCAAGAGCAGCUUAAGGCGAAGCUAAAGGAAGAAGAAUCACGGCCAGAGCUGAACCAGAGAGGUCUGGCCACGUUGCCGGUGAUCUCUGUGAACUCCGGCGAAGUGAAGCUCGCGACGGAGAUGACAAUGUGACCUCACCGGUGCUCGGCUAAGGGAAUGGAGUGGACGUCGAGGUAGAGGACGUCAAGACGGAGCUCUGGGCGGGCUGGCUUGGCCGGAGACGCGGUGGAACGGCCGGAGAAGCUCGCCGAAGCGCGGCAGAGCUCACCGAGGCGACGGCGGAGCGAAAUGUGCUGCGCUGAGCGAGUGGAGAGCGCGUCUGAGGCGUCCACUCGGUGCGUGGCGACUUGGAGACACCGUGGGAGCUGACAGGCGGGGUCGUCGAUGGCGUACGGUCGACAGGUGGCCGGACACGCGGCGGCGGGCGGCGUCUGUCCAAACUGAAUCGGGCGAUUCAGUCGCCAUGGCCAGUGACUGAGUCCCGAACUUCGUCGACGUUUUACUCUCAGCUCACUCGGUGGUUUUGCCUAGGAUUUGAUCCUCUGGACAGAGCUACAUGAGUUCUACAACUUUGAUUACAAGAUCAAAGCCUAACUCGGUCUGGAUUUCAAACUACAUAGCUCCAAACAACCCUACCUCGAAACUGCGUGACUCAAUACUUAGCCAAAUUUGGCUAAGUAUGGAAUCAGCCCUGAUUUUUGGCUUUUGAGCAAUUUUUUGAUGUGUUAUAAGCUUUUUAAUAAAAAGUCAUCAACAUAACUUUUGUAUCUUAUGAAAUUCUCUACAACUUUGUUUCAGGUGUCAAAGACAUGCAAGCUCUCUAACACCAGUUUCAUAAAACAUCUUUGAAAGGAGGUCUAGGGGGUCAAUUAAGCCAUUCUAGGUUUAACCCUAACCUAGGGGCAUUUUUGGCCAAAACCUUCAACAUGAACUUUGUUCCAAAUGAUAUUCUAAACAUGAUUGAAGUAUUUUGGAAGACAAUGUACACUUGUUUGCAUUGGUUACCCCUUAUAGUCACUCAAUUCAAGUCACACAAGCAAUUCACUCAUACAUGGUAUACAUAAGAUGACAUGUGAUCAUGAUAGAUGCUUAUCAAUGAGCAUGAUGAUGCUUGUGUUGAUGCAAUGCUCAUGGUUAACAUGCAAGCUAACACUAGGAGUGUUACAACAGCCCUAACGGUCGACGUAUUCCACCUCGUUCGGAUCGGUGUUUGUAGGACCGUAGUCAAAGCUUCCUGGCCCCCUUCUAAUCUCUUUCUGUGGUUAGUGUUCUGAUGUCCCAAAAUAAAUAAUCUUUGAAGUAAUUCUUGAUUCUUAGAUCAACUAGAGAACUCUUAGGAAACUUCCUCUGUUCCCACCAAAAAAUAAUCAUAUAGUUAUCCUUGGGCGAUCUUGAAUCUUAAUUAGUACACUCACAUUCCCUGUGGAAAAUCGAUACUCUAGAAUACUCCCGGGUGAAAGCUACAUCGUAUCCGUGCGCUUGUUGAUUAUUUUGCUUGCAUUUAAAAUAACCAACAAGCUUUCUGGCGCCGUUGCAGGGGAACGGUAGCUGUGCUAGUUUCGAACCAAGUCGUCCAUGUAUCCUUUUUCUUUUCUUUUUUUUACCACACUCACCUUACCAUUUUCACCAUACCACAUGGAUUUCACUCCUAUCUAUAAAUUCUUUGCUACAAAGGGCGAGUUAUUAGAGCCACCACCAUCAUCACAUCCAAUUCUUACAGAUGGCUACGACCUCGGCCCUGAUCUAAUAGCCAUGAUUCAAGAGCAACCAUUCUCUGGGCAAGUAGAUGAAGAUCCAUACACCCACCUUAGAGAAUUUGAGCAGUUGUGCUCUUGCCGAUCUAUUUCCGGCAUGACACAAGAAACCCUUAAAUGGAAAUUAUUUCCAUUCUCCCUUUUAGGAAGAGCAAAAAAGUGGUAUGCUCAUUCUGUAGGAGGCGUUAAUGGAAGUUGGGAUCAACUUCGGAACAACUUUUAUCUCGCUUUCUUCCCACUUUUACGAAUCGCUGACCUUAGAAUAGAAAUUCUUACAUUCAAACAAAGAGAGAAGGAAACUUUAGGAGCAGCUUGGGCUAGGUUCACAAGCCUUACCAAUUCCGGUCCAAACCUUUCCCUGCCUAGCCACGUACUGUACUACCACUUUUAUCGUGGUCUAAACAAGGAAGCUGCUCUUCACCUCGACAUUGCUUCAGGAGGCUCAUUCACACACAAACUCACAGAUGACGGGAGAGCUAUCCUAGAGAGAAUCCUUGAAAAUACCCCUUACACAGGCAUUUAUGAUGAGUUUCCUGAAAAAGAAAAAGAAGUCGAGCCUGAUCCUAAACCAAAAGAUGAGGGACUUGCAACCGAGUUAGAAAUUCCAUCUGACCCAUCUAUUAAUUUGGUUGUAGAGAAACUUCCUGAUAAGGGAAUGCAAAACCAACUAAGGUAUGAUGAACCACCACCUUUAGAGCAUCCUUUCGAAUUCGAGGAAGAUCUUUUUGAAGACUAUGGAAACACCUCGAAUUUUCCCAUCCAAACACGACCUCUAGCAAGGACCACUCAAUCCGUUCUAAGAGUAGAAUUUGUUGACAUAGAACACAUCAAAAGCCUUUCGGCUAUUCUGAGUUAUGAAUGGCUAACAGAAGCAGAGCUGUCUCCUGAGGUAGCUCGAAUCAUCACUCCUUCAACCAUUCUUCUAUGCCAAAUUAGAAGGUCCGCUAGGAAAGUCCACUACAAUCCAUAUAUUGGGAUAAAUUUUAUUUCCAAGGAGUUAGCUGACACUCUUUAUCCCAACGAGUCCAUAACCCCAUCUCAAAAACUUUUACAAAGUCCAUCUGGAUUAAUUGUAGAAGGCCAUGGGGUAUUAAGGGCAGUUCUUGUUAGAAUCAAGGACUCUGGAGUAUGUCUAGAUUUUCACAUUUUUGACAUAUCGGAGAUUCCUCUCUUGAUUGGCAGACCAAUCAUGAAACUUCUACAAGAACAACCACAACAAGGUCAUUUAGACUUCAAGGUUGGGAAUUCCACUAUUAUUGUUCCUCUUGCUAGAUCAAUUAACACGAUAGUGGAACCCAAACUUGAACCAGAUCCUAUUGAGGAGAUCUUGAUUCUAACUCAAGAGGAGAUGACCCAACCAUUCUUUAAUUAUGAACACUUUGUUCAAGAAGAAGAAGAGUUGGUAGAACCCGUUGAGCUAGACAAAAAUGAACAACCUUCACUUCCUUCGAUAGAAUUAAAACCUCCUCAUUCUAGCCUUAGAUAUGUCUUUUUGCACAACAACCCAAAAACUCCAGUAAUUAUCAAUGACAAGCUUUCCAAUUAUGAAAUACAACAACUUGUCACUAUUCUUGAAAGGCAUAGAUCAGCAUUUGGCUACUCUCUCGAAGAUCUCAUGGGCAUUAGUCCCAUUCUCUGCACUCAUCGUAUCCCUAUUGAUCCCAAUUUUACACCUUCAAGGGAACCACAACGGAGACUUAACAAUGCUAUGUGAGAGGUUGUUAAGAAAGAGGUCCUCAAACUCUAUCGUGCUGGGAUUAUUUAUCCUGUGCCACAUAGUGAGUGGGUUAGCCCUGUCCAAGUAGUGCCAAAGAAAGGAGGAAUGACGGUCGUUAGGAAUGAGAAGAAUGAACUCAUCCCUCAACGAAUUGUCACUGGGUGGCGUAUGUGUAUUGACUAUCGAAAACUCAACAAGGCUACAAAGAAAGAUCACUUUCUGUUACCCUUCAUUGAUGAAAUGUUGGAACGGCUUGCAAACCACUCUUUCUUUUGUUUCCUUGAUGGUUAUUCUGGAUAUCACCAAAUCCCAAUCCAUCUAGAUGACCAAGAAAAGACUACCUUUACAUGCCCGUAUGGAACUUAUGCAUACCGACGAAUGUCGUUCGGGUUGUGCAAUGCUCCAGCUUCUUUCCAACGGUGCAUGAUGUCUAUUUUCUCGGACAUGAUUGAGAAGAUCAUGGCGGUUUUCAUGGAUGAUUUUACCGUCUAUGGCAAAACCUUCGAUCAUUGUUUGGAGAAUUUAGAUAGAGUCUUGUAGCGAUGUGAAGAAAAGCACUUAAUCUUGAGCUGGGAGAAAUGCCAUUUUAUGGUUCAGGAAGGAAUAGUGCUAGGACAUAAAGUGUCCGAACAUGGUAUAGAGGUGGACAAAGCAAAGAUUGAAGUUAUUGAAAAACUUCCACCUCCCACGAAUGUGAAAGGAAUCCAUAGCUUUUUGGGACAUGCAGGGUUCUAUAGACGCGUUAUCAAGAACUUCUCUCAAAUUGCAAGACCCCUAACUAGUCUCCUAGCUAAGGAUGCACCUUUCAUCGUUAGUGAUGAGUGUCAUGAAUCUUUUCAAACUCUUAAGAAAGCACUCAUCUCAGCCCCGAUUAUCCAACCACCUGAUUGGAAUCUUCCUUUUGAGAUCAUGUGUGAUGCUAGCGAUUUUGUGGUUGGCGCCGUUUUAGGACAAAUCAAGGAUAAAAAGCAUUAUGCCAGAUUCUACGCUAGCAAAACCUUGUCUGGACCACAGCUCAAUUACACUACAACUAAAAAAGAGCUUUUGGCUGUUGUCUUUACUGUAGACAAGUUUAGAUCUUACUUAGUGGGGGCAAAGAUAAUCAUCUAUUCAGACCAUGCUGCUCGCAAAUACCUCCUCACUAAGAAAGAUGCUAAGCCUCGUCUAAUUCGAUGGAUUCUUCUACUCCAAGACUUUGAUAUAGAAAUCCGAGAUAGGAUGGGAGUUGAGAAUUCCGUAGCCGACCACUUAUCUAGGCUUCAAUAUAAGGAAACACAUGAUGAGCUUCCCAUAAAUGACUACCUAAGGGAUGACACCCUGCUUAAGAUAACACAUGCAGAUCCAUGGUAUGCAGACAUCGUAAACUUUAUAGUAAAAGGCUAUGUCCCACCUGGUACAAACAAAAGCAAGUUGCUUCACGAUAGUCGUUUCCACCUUUGGGACGAGCCAUAUCUUUUCCGAGUUUGCUGAUGGACUCUUGAGAAGGUGUGUUCCUAUGGCUGAGGCUACUCAAAUUAUGGAAAGAUGUCAUGCCUCGCCAUAUGGAGGACACUAUGGAGCAUUCCGGACACAUGCUAAAAUUUGGCAAAGUGGCUUUUUCUGGCCAAUGAUGUAUGAAGAUACAAAGGACUUUGUCAGAAGAUGCCACCGAUGUCAAAAACAUGGGAAUAUCAACUCACGAAAUGAAAUGCCUCUCACAAAUAAUCUUCAAGUAGAACUUUUCGAUGUAUGGGGCAUUGAUUUCAUGGGACCAUUCCCUAUAUCUGGAAAUUGUGAAUAUAUGUUAGUAGCUGUGGACUAUGUGUCCAAAUGGGUAGAAGCCCUACCUUGUCAAUCAACUGAUUCAAAUCAUGCCAAGAGAAUGUUCCAUGAAGUAAUCUUUCCUCGCUUUGGUAUACCCCGAAUAGUUAUAAGCGAUGGAGGUUCCCACUUCAUCGACAAAAUCUUCCCGAAGUACCUAGCCGAUCAUGGAGUUCGACACAACGUCGCAACACCAUACCAUCCUCAGACUAGCGGUCAAGCCAAAACAUCUAACAAACAAAUCAAAAAUAUUUUACAAAAGACCAUAGAUGAGAUGGGUAAGGGGUGGAAGGACAAACUUCCUGAUGCACUUUGGGCAUAUAGAACUACAUUCAAAACACCCAUAGGCAUGUCACCUUAUCAACUUGUAUAUGGAAAAACUUGUCACUUGCCUGUGGAAGUAGAGUUUAAGGCUCACUGGGCACUCAAGAAAUGGAACAUGGAUCACCACCUUGCUAGUGAGAAUCGUGUGAUGCAACUAUCUAAGCUAGAAGAAUGGAAAGAGAAAUCCUACCACGAUUCAAGGAUCUAUAAAGAGAGAACUAAACGAUGGCAUCAUAAGAGAAUCAAGCACAACGAGUUGAAGCCUGGAGAUAAGGUUCUACUAUUCAAUUCAAGAGUUAAGCUCUUUGGGCAUGGUAAGCUACGAAGUAAGUGGGAUGGACCAUACAAGGUUAUUGACACUUCAACACAUGGAGCCAUUACCAUCCAAGACGACAUAGGUAACACUUUUAAGGUAAAUGGUCAACGCUUGAAAAUCUAUCUUGAGCCACAAAACAACCUGGUAGAGGAACUUGAUGUGAUUGAGUUCAUAGAAUUCUCAUAUUAAGCUCUCAUAAGCUCUAGACAAUUACCUAACAAUUAACAUGCUCCACGAGUUUUGUUGUCUAUUUGGGUUGUGCAGGAUUUUGAGGCUUAAGAAGAGUGAGACCAAACAUGCAGGCCACAAGAGUGAACGACUAUGUCAACAUCCAGCUUGGGGGAGGCACCCCCACGUGUAUCUAGAUAAGUAUUACUUUUCUUUCUUGGUUUUAUUUACUAGUAUUUGGAAAAAAAUAAAAAAAAUGCACAACCAUGAAACCAAACAAAGUUUUUCUUUUGAGUAAUAUACAAUAGUUUUGUGUAAUCCUAUGUUUUAAAUAAAAUAAAAAGAAAGUUUGAUCCAAGUCUAGGUAAUUGACAAACUAGAUAUGAGAAGGUCUGAGCUACUAUUUAACUUGUUCCAAGUUUCGCUAGGGUUCUGGAGAUUUUAUCUUUUGAAAAACUAAAAAUUCACAAAAAAAUGAGAUCAUAAUACCUAGAGUCUUAAUAGAUAUAAAUAUUAAAACUGUGGGCUCUUGCUUUGUUCAAGCCAUUGUUAAAUUCUUGUAGUUUUGGUUGAGAGAAUUAUCAUGCUCCAAAGAUCAAGAUCUUUUUUGUUUAAAAAAUAUAAAAGAUUCACUCUUCUGAAGUAUUAUUGCGUUAGAGGCAUGGGACUAUGCAAACAAUUGAUUCAAAAGAAAGAGUGAGACGAGAGGUAAAAAUGGACAAGUGUCCGAAGUAGAAUUAGAGGUACAAAGAUACCCACCUGAGUGAAAAAAAGAUGGACACGUGUCCGACAGUAGAAUUAGGGGUACUUGCUACCCACUUAAAAAAAGAAAAAAAAUGAUAGCCCAUGGUCCCUCUAAUAAGCAAUAUGCCAGUAAGAGAUGACAAACUUUUCAAAAAGGUCAAAGGUUUUGAUCUAGGAGUAUGACAUUCCUCUCCCUUGCUCCUUGCUUUGACAUAGCAAAAUGCAAAGUAAGUAUGCUAAAACUUUUAAAGCUCUACUUAUAUAUCUUUCGAGAAGAAGGCAAAUACCUUAGUUUUAUUUUGGAAACUUAUAAAAACUCUAGAACAAAGGUAAGACAGAAGAACUUGAGACAUAGUGCUUGACUUGAUCGUUCUGUUUCUCAAUCACUUAAGACCUUAGUGAUAACUUAAAAACCAUAUAGUAAGAAGCAUAAAAGUAACCCCUAUUUUCUUGCUGAUUUUAGCUUUGCUCAGGGACGAGCAAAGGUUAAGCUUGGGGGAGCUUGUUGACGGUCCUUAAUGCUCACAUUUAACAGUCAACUAAUCAUGGAAAAGGAUCCAAAUGCAACUAACACCCAGACUUAGGGUUUUAUCUGACAGAAUUCCACGAGUUUUGGUGUUUGUCUAUUUAUGGAGGGGGUUAUCAGGAAAUAUGGAAGAAAGGCCCACAUGUCAGGAUUACAUAGAGAUAUUAACGUGCCGUGCAAUUUUCUACCAUCUAGAAGACUCCAGAAGCCACGGGAAUGAACGGGAAGGCAAUCGGGCUCAAAGGUAGGGCGCCCGCCCUACUCUCCUGGGCGCCCGCCCACCUUCUGAGUCCAAUCAGGACUCUCUUUCGCGAUCGUGCUCCACCGACCUAAGGGAUCAAGGAAAACCGUGUGAUUAAUGUCGGUUUGAUCCGACGGCCCAGAUUCAUCUGAAAAGACUAUAUAAGCAAGGUCCCCUGACCCCUGGAGAUCAUACCUCUUCUACAGAAUCAAAGUUAGGGUUUCAAUUCUUCAUCCAAGUAGAUAGGAUCCCUCUAGUUCAUCUAGUUCUAGUUCUAGUUCCUCUAGUUCUAGUUCAUCUAGUUCUAGUUCUUCUAGUUCUAGUUUUAGUUAGUUCUAGUUGUAAUCUAGAAAAUAGGGAGAGAGAAGAGGAGAGCGGAGGAGGAGGAGCCGGAUCUGUCGGAUCUUCCUCAACAUUGUACUUUUGCAGCAACUGGUUCAUUCUCCAUCGUUCUCUAGGUUCUUCAAUUCAUAAUUCCUGAGUUCUUUAAUUACUUUUAUUUACAUUCAAGUUAUUUAUUGGAUUUCCGCUUACAUCAAGUGCUCUACUCUUUGCCACAUUAGAGUAGUAAUUAAUAGAUUAGACGUGGUGUUUAGUCUUGCAAUUACCUGGAAUUGCACCCAAUCCUGCGGAUUAUUGUGGUAGCCCUUGGGUAGUGACAGCCCUAAUGAUCGACGUAUUCCACCUUGUUUGGAUCAGUGUUUGUAGGACCGUAGUCAGAGCUUCCUAGCCCCCUUCUCAUCUCUUUCUGUGGUUGGUUAGUGUUCUGAUGUCCCGAAAUAAAUAAUCUUUGAAGUAAUUCUUGAUUCUUAGAUCAACUAGAGAACUCUCAGGAAACUUCCUCUCUUCUCACCAAAAAAUAAUCAUAUAGUUAUCCUUGGGCGAUCUUGAAUCUUAAUUAGUACACUCACGUUCCAUGUGGAAAAUCGAUACUCUGGAAUACUCCCGGGUGAAAGCUACAUCGGUAUCCGUGCGCUUGCGGAUUUUUCUGUUUGCGUUUAAAAUACCCAACAAGUACAUAGUCAAGAAUUGGGCGUAACCUACUUGUUGCUUUUACUACCUUGAUAUUUGUUAGCUUGUCCUUGGCACCUGUUUUAUUUUAAAAACUGUGUACUGAUGCUUAGCCCUGCUUAUUAGGUAGGUUUUCAACUAAGAAAGUUUGAAGGGUUGUUGUGGGAUACUCUUAUGGUGAAUGAUGUUUCAACUUGAGACCGAUCGGUGGACUUGCUUUAAGAAUGGAGUCUUAAAGUAGUGUCUCCAACUGUAUCGAUUAAGGACCGGUCCGUUGAUGGCCUGCUGGGUUGAGAACUUAUAGUACUAGCUGUUGACGGUCAUUAAGUACCAAAUAUAAUCAUCAAUUAAAUAAAGAAAAGGAUCCAAAUGCAACCAACACCGAGAUUUAGGGUUUUAUCUGAUAGAAUUCCACGAGUUUUGGUGUUUGUCUAUUUCUGCAGAGUUUAUCAGGAAUUACGGAAGAAAGGCCCACACGUCGGGUCUACAUAGAGAUAUUAAUGUGCUGCGUAAUUAUCUAACAUCUAGAAGACUCCAGAAGCCACAGGAACGAACGGGAAGCUAAGCGGGCUCGGGGGCAGGGUGCCCGCCCUCCCUCCUUGGGCGCCCACCCAGCUACAGGAACCAAUCAGGCUCCGUCUCGCGGAUUAUGCUCCACCGACCUAAAGGAUCAAGGAAAACCAUGCGAUUAAUGUCGGUUUGAUCCGACGCUACAUAUUCAUUUGGAGGGACUAUAUAAGCAGACCCCCUGACCCCUAGAGGAGGCACCCCUUGAUCCCUAUUCAUUAUUCAUAGACUGAGCAAAAGUUAGGGUUUGGAGAUGAGAGCUCUCCUCUCAUCUCUAAACUAGAGUUGAUCUAGAUAGUAGCGAGAUGGAGAGCAAGGGAGGAUUGGAGGAGAGGCCAGCCUGUCGGUUCUUCCUCCGGUUGUACUUCGCCAUGAUCAAGCUCUAAUCAAGCUUGCUCAUGGGAUGACUCUGGUAAUCUACUUCUAUUUCAUUAUGCAAUUACUAUCCAUGUAUGUUAUGCAUCACAACUCUUUUGAGUACUUUAAUCUAUAGGACGCUAUAGGUGAGAGUUGUAGUAUAGGUGUAAGCGUGUUGCUUAGACUUAGAUCACUUGUGGACAUCCCCUGUCUAUCCAGAUCGUGUGGUAGGCCGCGUAGGUGACAGUUACGUUGGUCCACUAUAGUCCACCUCCCGUUAGCAGGACUGGUAGGGUUUAUCAGCCUAUGGAUAAGCAUCCUUUGUGGUGUAUUCUUAUCACGUGGUUCGUCCCAGACAUAGACAUACCCCUUUGAAGUAGAGAAACCAUAGUUAUCCUCUCUAUUCUCCUACCAUCGCCCAUAUACUAGAUUGCUCUACUCUCUAUUCUCAUAUUAUCACCCAUUGUUAUCUUGCCUUUAAUAUUGUUCUUAUUCAAUUCUACCAUCUUUCCUAUUUACACCUACUUAUCUAUCUAGGUUAAGUUAGAGCAUAGAUCAGUUCUCCCGUUUCCCUAUGGAUACGAUAAAACCUUUAACCGAGUAAAAGCUACAAUGGUAUCCGUGCGCUUGCGGAUUUAUCUGUGUGCGUAUAAAUACCAUAUUACACUCUAGUGCCAUGCUGGGGAUGACAACCUAGUACUCAAGUGGUGUUAGCAAGUGUCAACAAGCUUUUUGGCACCGUUGCCGGGGAAACGGUUGCCGAGUUGACUACGAACUAGCUUAAUCAUUUUCUAAAAAAAUAAAAAAAAUAAAUAUAUUUCCUUUUAUCCUUUGCCUCAUCUCUGCUAUUCUUUCUUCUUAUCUAAUCCUUGAUCUCUGGUCUAUCAUGAAUUCAAACAUGUCUAUCUAUGAAUUUCGUAGACCUACGGGCACACAUCUCGAACCACCAAAAUCUUCAAAGCCUAGCAUAGCAUCUAGUUUUGAGAUAGACCCCGAAAUACAUAGAAUUUGUUCAAAAACAACCUUUCUCAGGAGAAGGUGAAGAAAACCCAUACACACACCUAAGAGAGUUUUAUCGAGUGUGUGACCUCCUUCGCAUAGAAGGCAUGUCUGACGAGACCCUUAAAUGGAAGCUCUUUCCGUUCUCUUUAACAGGAAAAGCUAGACAUUGGUACAAACUCAAAGUAGGGAGUGUUCAUGGAGAUUGGAAGGAGUUAUAUAAUAGUUUUCUUUUUAAAUAUUUUCCAAUCUCCAAAGUGGCGGAACUUCGACGUAAGAUUAUUUCUUUUAGACAACUGGAAUAAGAAUCUCUUGGCAAUUCAUAGGACCGCUUUAUUAACCUUACUCUCACUGGCCCAAAGCUUUCUAUUCCAGAAGAAGUUCUUCUAAUUCACUUUUUUGAGGGCCUUAGUCGGGAAAAUAAGAAAACCUUAAAUACAGCCUCUAGAGGAUCCUUCUAUCACCUACCUGCUAGUGAAGCUAGGGAUUUAAUUGAUUCAUUGAGGUGAAAGUUUCCUAGCAUUUAUAUCCUUGAGAAAGAGAAAGAACCAGUUCCUAGUCAAGAAGAAGAAGUUUCGAUAGCCAUAUCACAACCAUUCCAAACUUUAGCUAUCGAUCCUAAACCAUCAAUACCCCAAAAUUCUCCAAGGGACGAAGGAAUCCGACCUUAAAUCUUUCAGAUGAUGAUGGUUUAGACUUCUGGUUCCAUAAGAGACCUUCAAGAAGGGAUAAUUCAAAUCCUUGCAAUAAUGGUUCUCUUAGAGAAUGUCCUGGUUCCUGCUAUGAAGAAGUUGAGGAUGACAUAUCAAGUGAAGGAGAGCUAAACCAUAUAGAAGAUUCUAUCUGCUCCCCUUCCAUGUUCACAAAUACUAAAUCCAUCCUUGACCUUAGAGACCCCUCUUAUCCCUCUCCUUUUCAGUCUCAUGAUGAUCCUAGCAAUCCAUCAAGACGAUCAAACCAUAGGAGUCACAAAGACCAUGAGGAUGACAUGUCAAAUAAUGUCAUAGAAGGAGAGCUAAGCCAUAUAGAAAAUUCUAACACCUACCCUUUCCUGAUCACAAGUUCUAAAUGGCUAGAAUGUGUAGAAUGGAUGGACAAGGAAAAAGCCUUAAUGGAUUCUGACUUUGGCUCAAUUUCAAAUGGUGAGUUCUUGACUCCCUUGGAAGAUGUGAUUCAUCCAACUACAGAAGAGGACAUAGGUGAGACCAAUCCAGGAGAAACUCCGAAUAUUCAGAUUGGAGAGGAAGAUAACAAUAAUGAGCAUGGAAUUUAUUUCAUAGCCACCUCAUUUACUCCAUGCUCAUAUGCAACAUCUUCCCAAUCUAUUGGUCUCUCCAACCCCCUCUUCCUUUCUAUUUAUAAAAACUUUAAAAGGGCGGUUGUCGAUGCAUAUGUCUAUAAUAAAUAUUGCAGAUCUCGUUGAGUUGAUCUUGAUAUAGGUCAACGUUGGAAGGGAAAUCACUUCGCCAACAUAAAUUGAUGGUUUCCCAAGGACAAGCUUAGUGUCCUAAAAUAAGCACUGAUCAGAUCGUAACAUAAGAUUUUAAUUAUUUACAACAUUACCUUGUGUAUUGAGCAUAUAAGGAUAAUUGUAAAAAUAUUCCUUUGGGUAUUCUUGUCACUAACCUUUCCAGGAUUGGAGGAAGAAGAUUGGAUGAAUGACAAGCACAAGGUAUGUCCAACCAAUCAUCACACAACAUUAAAUUCAUCCAAACUUGAAUUUUGCAAAAAAAUCAAGCUUGGGGGUGUACUUUACAUAAAAACAUCCUUUGCCAUGUUGCUAUGUUGGUUGUCCCUACCUUUGAGACAUGCUCAAUUUGUUAAAUACUAAUCACACUACUUCAUCUCCACUUGAGUAGAUCUCUAUAAAUGUUGUCAUGCUACCUUUAUCUAUUUACAAGCAAGUGUUGGUUUGGAAGUACUCGACAUACUUCCAUUGGCAUUUAAAUUAAGCACGGUGCUUAGGUUAAAUAGCCUUCCUUAAUCUGAUUAGACAUGGAGUCUAGUUUGGCUACUGAACUAAAAACUGCUUGAGUAGAUAUUUGUAUAUUUUGUCGGACUAACCCCUGCAGGAAAACUUUCAAUAUCAACCUCGGAAGUCAUAAGAUAAACUCACAUUGGAGACAAAGAGAGAGACAUAUGAAGUUUAACAAUUUACACAAGGAAGACAUAGCUCAUAAAAGAUGAUCCAUAGAGGGUGCUACAAACACGAUGCAUAACGGCUAAGAAAGGAAAGCUUCCACAAGGUGAUACUGUACCAUCACUCUUCAAGUAAGGUAACAUCUUAAGGUACUUGACUAUCUCUUUUAUAAGCUUCCCCUUGGUUCUGGCGUUCAUAUGAAUAAAAGAGACAAACAUGUAUGAUUUACAGCUCUAGGUUAACCAACCCAAUCGAUUCAACAUCUUUACUCCUUCCACCUUUGUGAUCCCACACUCCUAAUCAUAUGAGCUAAAGUGUUGCACAUUCAAUAUUUUGGAAGAUAUAAUGAAAAAGACAUGUAUAUAGAUAGAUCAUCUUUCCAUAAGGUUGCGCGAUCUGAUCUGACAAAUGUUUUAAAUGUUACACUCAUGAACUUAUCACCCAUCAACUUUGUCUUGCUCCCUAUGCUUAAGGAUAGAGAAGAAUAAAUAUACUUUUGGUUCUGUUGGUGUUUUCCACCAACAGGACCCAUGCGCUUGAUCUCUGCCUUGUCUCUAUGAGCAGGUACACUUGGAGCAAAACAUGGUGGAGUUUUACAACUCCCAGACUCCACCAAGUGAAGGACCUGGAUCUACGAGCACAAACACACUGAGCAAGAUACUACCAACGCCGCACUUCGAACUACGGGGCAAACGAAGAACAUGGGUGACACCGUAUCAAGAGGUGCAGACGUCAAGGUCCACACCUGAAUCAAAUGAUGCACUUAAAGAAUGAACACGGUGAGAAGUCUUGUUCAGAAGACAUAAAACAUUAAACACUCGCCGAAAGAUAAAAUCGGUAGUUAUCCAUAUUUAUCCUUUCUGCAUUCCCUUUUUCCCUUAAAUUAUUUACUUUCCUUAAAUGGCUUGUUAGUUAAUCAUGCUAUCUUGAAAAGAAAAUAAAAAUGUUAAAAAUAGUAAGCCCCAUGUGAGUAUGCUCGUGGCAUAAAACCUACAUUCACUAUGGUGGCGUAAAGAUAAAAAAAUUUGUGUCCUAUAGAAAUGAAAAUAUAAAAAUAAAUUUAUGAUCCUACCAAAGAGAGUAAUAUUUAUUAGAGGAAGCUCAACAUGAUAAAGGCAAAGAGAUUUUAUGCUAACACUUAACCAGUUCCACAAAGCUUUGUUGUCUAUUUGAGCUUCAUAGAAUUUAAGGAUCAAAGAAGACUACCAGACGCAGGACAUCCUAAUCGCUGUCAGGGUGCUGCCGACAUUCAAAUACACCUCCGCCACCUGGUAGCUACAUCAGAUGAAAUUACGUCAAAAUCCAGCUUGGGGGAGAGCACCCCCAUUUAUCUAGGUAAGUGUUUCUACUCGCGUUUAUACUUUACUCAAAUAAUAAAAAGAUGCAUAAUCAUAAAAACCCAAAUAAUGAUUUUAUGCUUAUAUAUAUCUUUGUUUAGUUUGCUAAAUAAAUAAAUAAAUAAAGUUUGCUAUGAACCCUCAUGAUAAGCUCUCACAUGGAAAUAAUGAAUAGUUGCUCUGCCAUGCCUAGUUCUUAAAAUUGAAAUCUCUCUCAAGUUUAGGCAUGACUAUUAUGAAUUAAGAUUUUCUCUAAACCUGAACUUGUGGGAAGAGUACUUGAUCUAAAGUCUAAGUCGUUAACGGAUAUGAUAUGGGAAGGUUGAGUUGCUGUUUAUCUGUUCCUAGAGAUGCUAGAAUUCUGGAGAAUUUUCUCUUUGGAAAUCUUUAAAAUGUUGCAUGAUGAGUUCCUGUAUGGUCAGAGUUUAAAAUCCUACCACAGCCACAUGUACAUGCUUAUUAGACUAUGAACCAUACAUUUACUUUUUACUGCUUAUGAGCAUUAAUUGUGGUCAAGCUGUGUAGACCCUUAGGAGCUUGUCAUGCAGUUAAAGUCAAGAUUCACUUACACGUUCACUCAUACAUGCUGCUUCUACUCUGGAAGUACGCAUCCACAUACAUCCACUUAUUUCCCUCUCCAGAUUCACCCAAAAUUAUUCUACUCCAAUCCGGGAGAGAAUAGCCAAAAACAUUAUCCCAUUCAUGUUUUCCCUGUAAAAUAAAUGCUCGAGAUAUUUUGGUUACUACCACUUGCUACAUUAUUCCAGGAGGGUGAGUGCUCUAAAAAAAGGAGAGAGAUGAAAAAAGAAAAAAAUACGAGGAAAUAAAAGGGGCAAGUGCCUGGAACCUCGAAGAAAAGAAAAAGUGAGACGAGAGGUAAAAAUGGACAAGUGUCUGACAGUAGAAUUAGGGGUACAAGAUACCCACCUGAGAGAAAAGAAAAAGAAAAGAUAGAGCAUCUCAUUCCCCUCAAAAAGCUUCAAAGUGCAAGAAAGGUAUGUAUCCCCGCAAAAGAGUAGACGUAGAAUUAGACUUUCACCAUUGUUUUCACCAUUUUCACCAUCAUCACCCUACACCAUUCAUUCGCCACACAUGCACAUCUUGAUUUGUCUUAUUGAUUUGUUCUUCUGGAUCCAUGGUUUGACUAUGCAAUAAAUGUCAUGUAAGUAUGUAUACUUUAUCUCCCACCUAUGAGCUCUAGAUAUCAAAGCCUUAUUAGAGUAGGUUG